rnacentral:lncRNA from 1 species
UUUCUUUUGGGUACCCUAUGAAGAUGCACUUCUCCGAUUUGGGUUAGAGUUUAUCAGGUUGAAACUUUUUCACAUAAGCAUUGCAACCUCAAACUUUAAGAAACGACAGCUUAGGUUUCUUGCCAAACCAUAGUUCAUACGGUGUCGUCUCAACGGAUUUAGAUGGUGCCCUAUUUAACGUGAAUGCAGCUGUCUCUAAUGCAUAACCCCAAAACGAUAGUGGUAGAUCGGUAAGAGACAUCAUAGACCACACCAUAUCUAAUAAAGUACGGUUAUGACGUUCGGACACACCAUUAUGAUGUGGUGUUCCAGGUGGCGUGAGUAGUGAAACUAUUUCACAUUGUUUUUAACUGAAGGCCAAACUCGUAACUCAAAUAUUUUACUUCUGCGAUCAUAUCGUAGAAACUUUCAUUUUUGUUACGAUGAUUCUCCACUUCACUCUGAAAUUCUUUGAACUUUUCAAAUGUUUCAGACCUGUGUUUCAUCAAGUAGAUAUACUCAUAUCUGCUCAAAUCAUCUGUGAAGAUCAGAAAAUAAUGAUACCUGCCACGAGCCUCAAUAUUCAUCGGACCACAUACAUCAGUAUGUAUGAUUUCCAACAAAUCUGUUGCUCGCUCCAUUGUUCCGGAGAACGGAGUUUUAGUCAUCUUGCCCAUAAGGCAUGGUUCACAAGCAUCAAGUGAUUCCAAAAUCCCAUCAGCAUGGAGUUUCUUCAUGCGUUUUACACCAAUAUGACCUAAACGGCAGUGCCACAAAUAAGUUGCACUAUCAUUAUUAACUUUGCAUCUUUUGGCUUCAAUAUUAUGAAUAUGUGUAUCACUACGAUCGAGAUCCAACGAACUAUUUUCAUUGGGUGUAUGACCAUCGAAGGUUUUAUUCAUGUAAACAGAACAACAAUUAUUCUCUGACUUUAAUGAAUAACUGUAUUGCAAUAAACAUGAUCAAAUCAUAUUCAUGUUCAACGCAAACACCAAAUAACACUUAUUUAGGUUCAACACUAAUCCCGAAAGUAUAGGGAGUGUGCGAUGAUGAUCAUAUCAAUCUUGGAACCACUUCCAACACACAUCGUCACUUCACCCUUAACUAGUCUCUGUUCAUUCUGCAACUCCCGUUUCGAGUUACUACUCUUAGCAACUAAACUAGUAUCAAAUACUGAGGGGUUGCUAUAAACACUAGUAAAGUACAUAUUAAUAACAUGUAUAUCAAAUAUACCUAUGUUCACUUUGCCAUCCUUCUUAUCCGCCAAUUACUUGGGGUAGUUCCGCUUCUAGUGACCAAUCCCUUUGCAGUAGAAGCACUCAGUUUCAGGUUUAGGUCCAGACUUGGGUUUUUCACUUGAGCAGCAACUUGCUUGUGGUUCUUCCUGAAGUUCCCGUUUCUUCCCUUUGUCCGUUUACUUGAAACUAGUGGUUUUGUUUACCAUCAACACUUGAUGCUUUUCUUGAUUUCUACCUUCGUUGAUUUCAGCAUCACGAAGAGCUUGGAAUCGUUUCCGUUAUCCCUUGCAUAUUAUAGUUCAUCACGAAGUUCUACUAACUUGGUGAUGGUGACUAGAGAAUUCUGUCAAUCACUAUUUUAUCUGGAAGAUUAACUCCCACUUGAUUCAAGCAAUUGUAGUACCCAGACAAUCUGAGCACAUGCUCACUGCUUGAGCUAUUCUCCUCCAUAUUUUAGCUAUAGAACUUGUUGGAGACUUCAUAUCUCUCAACUCGGGUAUUUGCUUGAAAUAUUAACUUCAACUCCUGGAACAUCUUAUAUGGUCCAUGACGUUCAAAACGUCUUUGAAGUCCCGAUUCUAAGUCGUUAAGCAUGGUGCACUAAACUAUCUAGUAGUCGUCAUAUUGAGCUAGCCAGAUGUUCAUAGCGUCUGCAUCUGCUCCUGCAAUAGGCCUGUCACCUAGCGGUACAUCAAGGACAUAAUUCUUCUAUGCAGCAAUGAGGAUAAACCUCAGAUCACAGAUCCAAUCCGCAUCAUUGCUACUAACAUUUUUCAACUUAGCUUUCUCUAGGAACAUACCAAAAAUAAAACAAGGGAGCUAAACGCGAGCUAUUGAUCUACAACAUAGAUAUGCUAAUACUACCAGGACUACGUUCAUGAUAAAUUAAAGUUUAAUUAAUCAUAUUACUUAAGAACUCCCACUUAGAUAGACAUCCCUCUAAUCCUCUAAGUGAUCACGUGAUCCAUAUCAACUAAACCAUGUCCGAUCAUCACGUGAGAUGGAGUAGUUUCAAUGGUGAACAUCACUAUGUUGAUCAUAUCUACUAUAUGAUUCACGCUCGACCUUUCGGUCUUAGUGUUCCGAGGCCAUAUCUGUUAUAUGCUAGGCUCCUCAAGUUUAACCUGAGUAUUCCGCGUGUGCAACUGUUUUGCACCCGUUGUAUUUGAACGUAGAGCCUAUCACACCCGAUCAUCACGUGGUGUCUCAGCACGAAGAACUUUCGCAACGGUGCAUACUCAAGGAGAACACUUAUACCUUAAUAAUUUAGUGAGAUAUCAUCUUAUAAAGCUACCAUCGAACUAAGAAAAAUAAGAUGUAUAAAAGAUAAACAUCACAUCCAAUCAAAAUAAGUGAUAUGAUAUAGCCAUCAUCAUCUUGUGCUUGUGAUCUCCAUCUCCGAAGCACCGUCAUGAUCACCAUCGUCACCGGUGCGACACCUUGAUCACCAUCGUAGCAUCGUUGUCGUCUCGCCAAUCUUAUGCUUCCAUGACUAUCGCUACCGCUUAGUGAUAAAGUAAAGCAUUACAGCGCAAUUGCAUUGCAUACAAUAAAGCGACAACCAUAUGGCUCCUGCCAGUUGCCGAUAACUCGGUUACAAAACAUGAUCAUCUCAUACAAUAAAAUUUAGCAUCAUGUCUUGACCAUAUCACAUCACAACAUGCCCUGCAAAAACAAGUUAGACGUCCUCUACUUUGUUGUUGCAAGUUUUACGUGGCUGCUACGGGCUUAGCAAGAACCGUUCUUACCUACGCAUCAAAACCACAAUGAUAGUUUGUCAAGUGGGUGUUGUUUUUACCUUCGCAAGGACCGGGCAUAGCCACACUCGGUUCAACUAAAGUUGGAGAAACUGACACCCGCCAGCCACCUGUGUGCAAAGCACGUCGGUAGAACCAGCCUCGCGUAAGCGUACGCGUAAUGUCGGUCCGGGCCGCUUCAUCCAACAAUACCGCCGAACCAAAGUAUGACAUGCUGGUAAGCAGUAUGCUUAUAUUGCCCACAAAUCACUUAUGUUCUACUCGUGCACAACAUCAACGCACACUACAAGAAAUAUGUCAACUUAUGACCUUCUGUCAGUGACCCUCGAAGAAUUGGUCAUAAAUUUAUGACCAUUUUAGACCAAUUGGUCAAAAGCUGUCUAGGGGGCUCUAAACCCUAAACCAUAACGACCAUUUUGGUCAGAAAUGUCAUAAUUUCAUUAGAGGAAAUGGUCGUAAAGCUAGUAGCACUGUCCACUGCCUCAUGCCUAGCUGAUAACGACCAAUAUAAAAUGGUCACUACACUUGAGUUUGAAUGAAUUAGGAUGAUUAGGCAGCCACCUCAGCAACCUCGCUUAUGUGUCACUAUCUAGGUGUCAUUUUUGCUUGAGUUUUAAUAUUCAACAGACAGACGGGGCACACACUGACAGGCGGGACCCAUUUGAUAGGUGGGGUCGAGCGCUUAAUUCGCCCAAAAAAGAUGCACGAGGAGGGACUCGAACCCACGACCUCGCGCUUGGUUUGCUCGCAUGCUACCGCUGGGCUAGAGAGGGACAGUUGCUCACAUCUGGGAGUUUAUCUAUACAUUAUAUAGAACUACGGCUCUCUCGUAUCAUUGACAAGUGGGACCUUUCGACCAGGUGGCAUCGAACAGAGCAACGAUUUGCAACACUGACAGGCGGGACCCAUUUGACAGGUGGGUGCGCGAGCGUUUAAUUCCCUAAAAAAUAUGCGCUAGCGGGGACUCGAACCCACGACCUCGAGAUGGGUUCGCUCGUUCGUUACUGCUGGGCUAGAGAGAGAUUGUUGCUAAUGUGUGGGUAGUUUUCCAUAUAGUAUAUAAAACCACGGAUCUCACGUAUCAGUGACAAGUGGGACCUUCCGACCAGGUGGCGGCGGGUGGCCUCAAACAGAGCAACACUUAGCGUUUUUCUAGGUCUUCCAACCAGGUGGCGGCGGGCGGCGGCGGAAGCAACCAGGUGACCUCGCCCACGGCCUCGCGGCGGAAGCAACCAGCAGGGGGCGGAGGCGGGGGCGGGGCCAGCAGCGGAGGCGGGGGCGGGGCCGGCAGGGGGCGGAGGCGAGGCAGGGCGUGGAGGCGGGGGCCAGCAGGGGCAUAGCCGACCGACGGUGGUGGGGGCUUGCCGAGCAUGGGGGACUCGCCGCCGCCGCAAGCACACCUCCCGGUAUGCACCCCUCACCUCUUCCCCCCUCUCCUCUCUCGUCACCCGAGUAGUGGGAGAUGGAUUUCAGUCAGAUGUUCUUCAGCAUAGAUGAAUUUUGUUGAUGCACUGUUAGUAGUUAGGAGAUAGCUUGCUUGUUUGGUAGAUAUUGCGUAGAUGAAUUUUCUUGAUGUACUGUUAGGAAUUGUUCAGCUUGUUUGUUAAGAAUUCUUCAGGCCUUGUGGUUAGGCAAUUAGCAUAUAAAAUUUUCUAGAAUUUUAUCUUCCAUUACUUCCAUCCAUUUUCAUUAAUUAAUGUUGAUGCACUUAGAUUGAUUUGCUAAGUUGCAACAAUUUGUUGUCUUUGGCAGAUGGAUAGAAGAUGGAUUAGAGAAGGAGUUAGAAAGUUUUCGAAAGAACAUAUGAAAGGAGUUGAUGAUUUCAUGGCAUUUGUUCGGGCAAAUUUUGCCAACGAUCCCCAUGUUGUGAAUGCCUCAACCGUCCAAGAAUGGCUCAAGGAAGAGUGGAAGAUCAUCUGCUUCUUAAUGGGAUGUCCAGCACAUAUGAUAGAUGGAUAUAUCAUGGAGAACCUUUAGACAGACAACCUCAACAUUUUGAAGCUGAUACAGAGGCCCCUCAUAUGAUGGGUGGUGGUGAUGCUGGCAUUGAUUUCAUGGAAAAGGUUUUGCGAGAUAAUACUGUUUUGGAGGAAGAGGAUGGGCAUGAAGAUGAUAGGAUUCCUGACCUAUUGAAGGAUUUGUACGAUGCUGAAGAUCGUGCUGAUGGACAGAAAUCGUUGUUUGCUGAGGUGUUAGAGGAGGCGAAGCGCGCAGCUCAUGAAGGGGGUAAAUUUUCAAGAUUUACCUUCACCGUGAAGUUACUCCACAUCAAGUAUUUCUACCGGAUUAGCAAUGCCGCAUUCAACGCAAUACUCCGUCUUUUGAGCUUGCAAUUCCCUGAUAGUUGUGUUCCCAGAUCUUAUGAUGAAGCAUUGAGCAUAAUCCGCAGGCUGGGGUUAGGUUAUGUGUCAAAACAUGUGUGCCCAAAUAAAUGUGUCUUGUUUCGGAAGGAUUUAGCAAAGCAUGACAACUGUCCAAAAUGCAAUGCAUCUAGGUGGAAAGAUGCUGAUGGGAAGAAGUCAAUACCGGAGAAGGUACUGAGGCACUUUCCCUGUACUGAGGCACUUUCCCUUGAUACCAAGGCUGCAGCAGAUGUUCAUCUCGAAGAAAUCAUCGCGUGAGGUACAGUGGCACAAGCUAAAGCGGCAACCUGUGGACAAUGAGCUGAGCCAUCCAGCGGAUGGAGAGGCAUGGAAAGAGUUUGACCGUAUACAUUUAGAUUUUGCUGCAGAUCCAAGGAACAUAAAACUUGGCAUUGCCACAGAUGGGUUUAAUCCGUUUGGGAACAUGAGCACGUCUUAUAGCAUGUGGCUAGUUUUUGUGGUGUCGUACAACCUGCCACCAUGGGCAUGCAUGGAUCAGUCCAACUUCAUGAUGUCAUUGCUUAUCCCGGGUCCAGAUUCUCCAGGAAAGGAUUUUGAUGUCUUUAUGGAGCCCCUCGUAGAAGAACCGCUCCAGCUCUGGACCGGUGUACCUACAUACGAUACCUUGAGUCUGGAAGAAAAGUUCAAUCUACGUGCUACGAUCAUAUGGCCCAUCCAUGAUUUCCCAGCUCUGCACACUCUGUCUGGGAGGAUCACAGCGGGUUAUCAGGCUUGUGUCCAUUGUGACAAAGACCCUUGCUCAAAGAGAAUAAGGAGCAAGAUCUGCUAUAUUGGGCACCGCCGCUUUCUUCACCGAAACCAUCGCUGGUGAAGAAGCAAAGAUUUUAAUGGUGAGAAUGAAACCCGUGACAAGCCAGCUGAAUUCACUAAAGAAGAGCUGGAGCAGCAACUUGAAAAGGUGAAAGAUGUGAGACCAGGAAAGCUGGCGAAGAAAAGAAAACGUGAGGAAGGUCAAUGUUGGGACCGGAGGUCUUGUUUGUGGGACCUGCCAUACUGGGCUGAUCUGAAAUUAAGGCAUAAUCUCGAUGUAAUGCACAUUGAGAAAAACAUAUGCGAGAAUCUGCUAGGGACGUUUCUGAACAUUGAAGGGAAGACAAAGGACACGGUUAGUUCUAGGCUUGAUUUGGAGGACAUGGGCAUAAGAGAAGAUUUGCAUCUACAGCACAAUGAAGAUGAAGAUUCAUUUGAAAUUCCACGAGCAUGGUAUACAAUGAAUAAAGAACAAAAGCUUGCAUUCUGUGAAUUCCUAAGAGCGGUGAAAUUUCCAAAUGGUUAUGCUGCUAACCUAGCAAAGUGUGUUACUUCUGAUGGAUUCAAGCUUUCAGUACUGAAAACCCAUGAUUGUCACAUCCUCCUCCAAAGGAUUUUACCAGCGGGCCUCCGAGGAAUCAUGCACAAGGAUAUAUAUAUGAAGCGGUUGCUGAGCUGGGAAAUUUCUUUAGAGAACUGUGCUGCAAAACCCUCAAGUUAACUGUCCUCGAAAGACUUGAAAAAGAAAUCCCAAUUAUUCUUUGCAAGCUCGAGAAGAUUUUCCCUCCAGCUUUCUUCACCGUGAUGGUCCAUUUGGCGGUGCACUUACCCAAAGAGGCAAUGCUUAGAGGCCCUGUGCAAUAUGGUUGGAUGUACCCAAUCGAAAGAAGGCUGCUUACUUGUAGGCAUUAUGUGCGAAACACGGCAAGACCUGAAGGUUCUAUUGCUGAAGCAUAUGUCGUUGACGAGUGCUUGACUUUUUGCUCUAGAUACUUUGGUGAUGUGGAAACAAGAUGGAACCGGCCGGGCAGAAAUAGAGAGCGGUCUGAUUCACAAAGUGGUGAUGUCUCUGUUUUCAACCAUGGUGUGAACUUUCUUGGAGCCUCACAAUACUUGGAGGCUGGUGAUGAGUAUGACAAGAUGGUUUUGUUUGUGCUCAGCAAUUGCGCCGAGGUUCUACCAUAUAUCGAGUACGUUGUAUCUUGUGCACUCAUUAUAUAUAUUUUUUUGCUUGGGUUGGCACCAGCCUAAUGUUUUAAUUCACAUGUUUUGUUGGCAUUGCAGGAAAUGCAAGGAAGAGUUAUAUCAGGAAGAAAGCAAUAUCAAUGUUGAUAAAAGGGUUGCCAAGGGGUUUGCUAAGUGGUUUAAGAAUCAUGUGAGAUCUUUAGACACAUGUUUUAUGUUUUCUGUGUUAUUCACCCAUUGUUAAAUACCAUUGUUUGCUAAAUGGUUUAUUUGUGCAGAUUGGAAAGUUGCAUGAGGAGAAGAAGGUCAGUGAUGAUCUAUUUGCUUUGGCAUGCUUACCGGAUAAGCGAGUGAGAGUGUAUUCAGCAUGCAUUGCUGACAGUGUCCGGUACCACACUGUUGACCGCGAGGAAAAAAGGAAGACACAGAAUAGUGGAAUCGUCACUGAGGGGUCACAUGAUGGUGAGAUCAUUGACUUCUAUGGUCAGUUGAGAAGCAUCGUAGAGUUGCAGUACAACUCUAUGGAGGCAUCCAUCACUCGGUUGUCUUAUUUCGCUGUGACUGGUUUGAGCUUGGUAGCAAGAAGAGGAGAGACUCUUUUGUCAAAUAUGAUGGCCACUUCAAAAGCAUCAACACUGCAAGGUGCUGGUAUAAGAGUGAUCCCUUUAUUCUAACAACACAAGCACAAUGGUGUUUUAUCUACCAGACACUCUUUUGCACGGAAAAUGGCGAGUUGUGCAAAACUUUCGGCACGGACACUUGUGGAGUGUGACUGAAACUGAAGUGGAAAAGGGCCUUGGUGAUGGUGGACUAACAUACCAAGAUGAUGACUCUACGGAAGUUCCGUUGCAAGCUGAUGAUGACUCUAUGGAAGUUCCGGUGCAAAGCAGAGUGCGAAGGGACCGGGAACGUGUGAUCGUUGGUGCUACAACAGUUGAAGGCAUCAAGAAAAGAAGAAAGGUGGUAGAGGAUGGACAUGAAAGCGAGGAUGAGGAAAACCGGACUGAUCAUACUAUGCUGCAAUAUUGUAGUGAUGAUGAGGAAAACAGGAGUGGGCAUAGAGUUCCUUGUUUUUGUAUCAACGACGAUGAGUAGCGAAUGGACAUGAAGGUAAAUUUGGUCUCCUUGGUGAUCCUUUUAACUCUUUGUAGUUUUCCUUCUUGUGCAUAUGCAUGGUGAUCCUGAUGUACUACAAUUAUCUCGAGGUAGCAAAAUGCUUGAAAAUCCUGAUGGCUGUAGUGGUGUGAUCCUGAUGGCUGUAGUGGUGUGGUCUUAUAGCAUGGAGCUGAUGGCAAAAUGAAGUUGUGCUCAGAAUGUUGUCAAAAUGUUGUCUUGUAAUGCAAAAGAUAGCAAAAUGAUCAUUUAGAUAUUGGUGAUCAUUUAGUUCAAGUUUUGGUGAUCAUACAAAAUGUUGUCUAGUAGUUUUUGUGAUCAUGUAGUAGUUUUUUUGAACUGAAGUGGAUGAUGUCUGGUUUUGCUUCAACCGAAUUUUGCACUAUUUUAACUGAAUUUUGCUUCAACUGAACCCAUUUCAUUGUGAGCAGAAAGAUAUGCGCCAUCGGGGACUCGAACCCACGACCAUACGCUUGUUUCACUAUGUUUCUACCACUGGGCUAGGAGGAGGCUGUUGGUUUUGUACUCUAUGCCAACCCUUUUGACUAUAUCAAACUAGUCAAGUAUCAAGCACACACCUCACUGACAAGUGGGCCACUCGACCCACUCAUUGACAAGUGGGCCAUUUUGCUAUUAUACCAAAGCUACCAAAAAUAUGUGCGUGGCCAAAAAAUAUGCGCGCGGGGGGGCUCGAACCCACGACCGUGCGCUUAGUUCACUUGGUUUCUACCACUGGGCUAGGAAGAGGUUGUUGGUUUUGUACUCUAUGCCCACCCUUUUCAAUAUAUCAAACAACUCGCUGACAAUUGGGCCCGCUCCUCCUCCUAUCCACUAUUUUCCCCACUCCCCCUCUCCACUCCUCCUAUCCACUCGACCCGCUCCACCUCUCCGCCGCCACCGGCUUCUUCCUCUCCCACCGCCGCCGCCAGCUUCUUUCUCUCCGUCGCCGACUCUCCGUCGCCGUGGGUAUGAAUCCGCUUCCUCUUACUCUUCCUAUCUACUGUUAUGAUAGAUUAGGGUUCUUGCCACCGGAUUAGGGUUUGAUUAGGAUGUUUUUUAGGGUGAAGGUGACNNNNNNNNNNNNNNNNNNNNNNNNNNNNNNNNNNNNNNNNNNNNNNNNNNNNNNNNNNNNNNNNNNNNNNNNNNNNNNNNNNNNNNNNNNNNNNNNNNNNNNNNNNNNNNNNNNNNNNNNNNNNNNNNNNNNNNNNNNNNNNNNNNNNNNNNNNNNNNNNNNNNNNNNNNNNNNNNNNNNNNNNNNNNNNNNNNNNNNNNNNNNNNNNNNNNNNNNNNNNNNNNNNNNNNNNNNNNNNNNNNNNNNNNNNNNNNNNNNNNNNNNNNNNNNGCCUCUGCUGGUUCGACGCCUCCCGCGCGGCUUGCCCUAUGCCGCCGGCGACCACUUCUUCUCGGACUCCGCCACGGUAAGCCAUCCGCUUCAUAUCCUCUCUCCUUUCUCUUCUGCUCUAGGGUUUGAGAAUCUAGGAUUUGUUAUGCAUACUAGGCAUCUAUUGGUGGAUUUAGGCAUAUUGUUCUUGGUGGAUUUAGUAUGCUCUGUUGGUGGAUCUAGUGUGGUUGAAUUGCUGUUUGAUUACUAUGUUGUUGCUGUUGGUAGUCACCUGACAGCAAUUAACUGUUGCUGUGGUAGGUAGUGUGAUAGACAUGUUGUUCUGUUGCUGUUGAAUUCUGUGGUUAAUUAACUGAAUUAACUGAAUUCUGUUGUUGUUGAAUUCUAUGGUGAACAUGCUGUUACUGUUGCCAGAACAUGCUGUUGAAUUUUGUUGCUGUUGAAUUCUGUGGUUGAACAUGCUGUUGUGGUUAUUCUUGUUGACAAGUCUUGUGCUGCAAUGGGAUUCAUGCAUAUGCAGGUGUAGUGACCGGCAUGAAUAUGGGCAGAGUAGUAGCAGUAGUAGAUGCCAACAUUUGAUAUGCAUGCAUGCAUUCUUGCUUGUUUAUAUUCUUUUAAAUUGAACAUGCUCAAGUAUGGAAACAUUACAUUCUUCUUCUACUCAUUGCCCCUUUGCCAAGAUAGAGUAGGAGAAAAUUGAGGCCAUUGCCAUUUAUAGUAGUAUUCCAAAUUGAGGCCCUGGCAAACACAUGUAGUAAUUAUUCUAUUGUUUUGAUUUAUAAUGCUGCUUGUUUCCUAUUUCUGUCCAGUCAUGUUGUUUAAUUUACUAUUGCUUGUUUCCUAUUGCUUGUUUAGAGUAGAAGUGAGAUGGCUGGCUUGGAAGGUUUCGAGUUCUACGAGAUUGUAAUUGAGAAAUCUUGCAGUAGGCAGGUAUAUUUAUCAUCACUCAUUUCUUUAUCAUCACUCUGCUGUCUAGUGCUUGAUUGCCACAAUUAACCACUGCUUGACCCUUGCUGCAGAGGCUGCCUGACAAGUUUGCGAAGAUGCUCGCCGGCCGUGAGCCCCACAAAGUGAAGCUGCGGGAGGCCGGCAGCGGGCUUCACGGGCUGUGGGAAGUGUUGGUGGUGUUUGAUGGUGAAGGCCACAUGUACCUAGGGCCCGGCUGGGAGCAUUUCGCCCGCGCCCAUGAGCUACAGCUCGGGUACUUCCUUGUCUUCCGCUACGACGGCGACGCCAUGUUCACCGUGAAGAUGUUCGACAACACCAUGUGCCGCAUGUACUACCAGCACGAUGACGAUGCCAGUAAGCUCUCUGCCUCUCUUCUUCCUGUCCUUUUGGAUUCCUCUACCUGCACGACGACAAAACCAUGUUCACACUUUGUUGCAUUUGGCCAGGCAAUGGGAGCAGCAGCGGGGAUGACGAGGAGCAGAGUGGGGAUGAUGACGAGGAGCAGAGCGGGGAUGACGAGGAGCAGAGCGGGGAUGACGAGGAGCAGCCUAUUCUGGCUGACGACGAACAUGCUAUGGUGGUGGCUGACGACAACCCUGCUAUGGUUGUGGCGGAUGACGACCUUACUAUGGUGGUGGCGGACGACGACCUUGCUAUGGUGGUGGCGGACGACGACCUCACGAUGGUGGUGGCGGACGACGACCUUGCUAUGGUGGUGGCGGACGACGACCUCGCGAUGGUGGCGGCGCUUGCAAUCCCAUAGCUUGGCGACAGGACCAUGCCAAUUGUGGUAGAGGAGUACAUCCGCGUUGGGAUUCGCCACUCUGAGCGCAUCAGGUUGAUGAAGGAGAAGAAGGAGGAGUGAAGAUGUUAAGAAGGUGUUCAGGAUGUUAGGUUUAAGCUUGUUAGUGUAAUAUGAACAUGUCAAUGUUAAGUAUGUCAGGUUUAAUUUUGUGCAUGCUCAUGGAUGUUGUAUGACAGUGUCAUCUAAACAAGUCAUGUUUUUAACAAUGAAUAUUCAGUUUGGUAAUUGAUGGGAAUUGAAAUUUUGUAUGCAUGCUCAUGGAUGAAAGAUAAAAUUAUGGGUUUUGUGCAUGCUCAUGUAUGAAACAAUAUAAGUUUCAUUUUUUGAAUGCUAAAAACAUGACUCAAACCCUAGCCACGGACGACCGCCGUGACUAAAUCCGCCGUUUUUUGAAAACACCAUAAAAAUCAGAAACCGUUUUUCAUUUUUUGAAUGCAAAAGACAUGCGUUUUUCGUGAAGCGGCUACAAGGAGGGGAACCCAAAAUGGCGCCAUUCCAUGUCUAUCUCAAAGUAGACCCUAUUUUAUGGACGGUCGCCAAAAAGCAUGCAUUUCCGACCCUCAUAGCUACUCCCAGCAAUUCGGACCACCUUCGGCCGAUUCAGCUGGAACCGGUUGGAAUUUGAACUGCGGGUCCUCCAUAGCUUGCCCGUUAUUUUCACUAAAAAUGCUUUUUAGCUUCACAGGUAGGCAUUUCAUCACAGAAUCGACAAUAGAUUUGCACGGCUUAAACCCUAGCCACGGACGGUCGCGGCAACGAAAUCGGACGGUUUUUGAAAACACCGUAAAAAAUCAAAAAAAUCAAAAAAAUGGGAGACCUCCGCGUCACAUCAUCAAAUGUGGCCUACCAACUAGCAAAAAUACUAAACUUGCAAUACCGGCGUUUUCUUGAAAAAGUGUUCUCAAAAACGACCUACCAUGAACGAAGAUUCAUCGCUUUCAAGCCAAACUAGCAAUGAUAUGGCCGAAUCCGUUGAAUAGUUUCUGAUAAUAUGCCCAAAUUGGGCGCAUUCCUCCGUCUUGUGAUGGCAAACAAUGUUGCCAAAGCGAGGUUCCAACUUGUUUAACAAAAAAACCGUUUUUCAUUUUUUGAAUGCAAAAGACAUGCGUUUUUCGUGAAGCAGCUACAAGGAGGGGCACCCCAAACGGCGCCAUUCCAUGUCUAUCUCAAAGUAGACCCUAUUUUACGGACGGUCGCCAAAAAGCAUGCAUUUCCGACCCUCGUAGCUACUCCCGGCAAUUCGGACCACCUUCGGCCGAUUCAGCUGGAACCGGCUGGAAUUUGAACUGCAGGUCGUCCAUAGCUUGCCCGUUAUUUUCACUAAAAAUGCUUUUUAGCUUCACAGGUAGGCAUUUCAUCACAGAAUCGACAACAGAUUUGCACGGCUCAAACCCUAGCCACGAACGGCCGCUGCGAUGAAAUCGGCCAGUUUUUCAAAACACCGUAAAAAAUUCAAACAAAAUCAAAAAAAUGGGAGACCUCCGCGUCACAUCAUCAAAUGUGGCCUACCAACUAGCAAAAAUACUAAACUUGCAAUACCGGCGUUUUCUUGAAAAAGUGUUCUCAAAAACGACCUACCAUGAACAAAGAUUCAUGGCUUUCAAGCCAAACUAGCAAUGAUAUGGCCGCAUCUGUUGAAUAGUUUCUGAUAAUAUGCCCAAAUUGGGUGCAUGCCUCCGUCUUGUGAUGGCAAACAAUGUUGCCAAAGUGAGGUUCCAAGUUGUUUAACAAAAAAACCGUUUUUCAUUUUUUGAAUGCAAAAGACAUGCGUUUUUCGUGAAGUGGCUACAAGGAGGGGCACCCCAAACGGCGCCAUUCCAUGUCUAUCUCAAAGUAGACCCUAUUUUACGGACGGUCGCCAAAAAGCAUGCAUUUCCGACCCUCGUAGCUACUCCCGGCAAUUCGGACCACCUUCGGCCGAUUCAGCUAGAACCGGCUGGAAUUUGAACUGCGGGUCCUCCAUAGCUUGCCCGUUAUUUUCACUAAAAAUGCUUUUUAGCUUCACAGGUAGGCAUUUCAUCACAGAAUCGACAACAGAUUUGCACGGCUCAAACCCUAGCCACGGACGGCCGCCGCGACGAAAUCGGCCGGUUUUUGAAAUCACCGUAAAAAAUUCAAAAAAAAAUCAAAAAAAUGGGAGACCUCCGCGUCACAUCAUCAAAUGUGGCCUACCAACUAGAAAAAAUACUAAACUUGCAAUACCGGCGUUUUCUUGAAAAAGUGUUCUCAAAAACGACCUACCAUGAACAAAGAUUCAUGGCUUUCAAGCCAAACUAACAAUGAUAUGGCUGCAUCCGUUGAAUAGUUUCUGAUAAUAUGCCCAAAUUGGGCGCAUGCCUCCGUCUUGUGAUGGCAAACAAUGUUGCCAAAGCGAGGUUCCAAGUUUUUUAACAAAAAAACCGUUUUUCAUUUUUUGAAUGCAAAAGACAUGCGUUUUUGUGAAGCGGCUACAAGGAGGGGCACCCCAAACGGCGCCAUUCCAUGUCUAUCUCAAAGUAGACCCUAUUUUACGGACGGUCGCCAAAAAGCAUGCAUUUCCGACCCUCGUAGCUACUCCCGGCAAUUCGGACCACCUUCGGCCGAUUCAGCUGGAACCGGCUGGAAUUUGAACUGCGGGUCAUCCAUAGCUUGCCCGUUAUUUUCACUAAAAAUGCUUUUUAGCUUCACAGGUAGGCAUUUCAUCAUAGAAUCGACAACAGAUUUGCACGGCUCAAACCCUAGCCACGGACGGCCGCCGCGAUGAAAUUGUCCGGUUUUUCAAAACACCGUAAAAAAUUCAAAAAAUCAAAAAAAUGGGAGACCUCUGCGUGACAUCAUCAAAUGUGGCCUACCAACUAGCAAAAAUACUAAACUUGCAAUACCGGCGUUUUCUUGAAAAAGUGUUCUCAAAAACGACCUACCAUGAACAAAGAUUCAUGGCUUUCAAGCCAAACUAGCAAUGAUAUGGCCGCAUCCGUUGAAUAGUUUCUGAUAAUAUGCCCAAAUUGGGCGCAUGCCUCCGUCUUGUGAUGGCAAACAAUGUUGCCAAAGCGAGGUUCCAAGUUUUUUAACAAAAAAACCGUUUUUCAUUUUUUGAAUGCAAAAGACAUGCGUUUUUCGUGAAGCGGCUACAAGGAGGGGCACCCCAAACGGCGCCAUUCCAUGUCUAUCUCAAAGUAGACCCUGUUUUACGGACGGUCGCCAAAAAGCAUGCAUUUCCGACCCUCGUAGCUACUCCCGGCAAUUCGGACCACCUUCGGCCGAUUCAGCUGGAACCGGCUGGAAUUUGAACUGCGGGUCCUCCAUAGCUUGCCCGUUAUUUUCACUAAAAAUGCUUUUUAGCUUCAUAGGUAGGCAUUUCAUCACAGAAUCGAUAACAAAUUUGCAUGGCUCAAACCCUAGCCACGGACGGCCGCCGUGACGAAAUCGGCCGGUUUUUGAAAACACCAUAAAAAAUUGAAAAAAAAUAUCAAAAAGAUGGGAGACCUCCGCGUCACAUCAUCAAAUGUGGCCUACCAACUAGCAAAAAUGCUAAACUUGCAAUACCGGCGUUUUCUUCAGCUACUCGGUAUGAUUUUAUCCUUGAUUUCUACAAAAUUUACAAAAAAACCCUAUUUUUUUCUACACCCAAACCCAAAAGGAUUUCCCUCCCACACCAAAAUUUUCCCUCCACCAAAAUUUCCCUCUCCCAAAAUUUCCCUCCUCUCCCUCUCCCACUACCAGGCGGGACCCACCACUCCCUCUCCCACUAACACGCGGGAUCCCCUCCCUUCCCUCCUAAAAUUACCCCAUNNNNNNNNNNNNNNNNNNNNNNNNNNNNNNNNNNNNNNNNNNNNNNNNNNNNNNNNNNNNNNNNNNNNNNNNNNNNNNNNNNNNNNNNNNNNNNNNNNNNNNNNNNNNNNNNNNNNNNNNNNNNNNNNNNNNNNNNNNNNNNNNNNNNNNNNNNNNNNNNNNNNNNNNNNNNNNNNNNNNNNNNNNNNNNNNNNNNNNNNNNNNNNNNNNNNNNNNNNNNNNNNNNNNNNNNNNNNNNNNNNNNNNNNNNNNNNNNNNNNNNNNNNNNNNNNNNNNNNNNNNNNNNNNNNNNNNNNNNNNNNNNNNNNNNNNNNNNNNNNNNNNNNNNNNNNNNNNNNNNNNNNNNNNNNNNNNNACGGCAGCUACAUCGACGAUGGCGCGAUCGACGACGACCACCGCUGCAUCGUCAACAUCAUCUCCCCCUAGGUACUUCUCCCCUCCUCUGGUGGAUCCAUCUCCCCUUCUCUGGUGGAUCCACCUCCCCUCUGGUCGAUCCAUCUCCCCUCUGGUAGAUCCCCUCAUGGGUUAGGAUUUUCUAGGGUUAGGAUCUCCUGUUGGUUCGGUAGGUCCUUGUUCUUGGGGUUAGGGUUCAUUUUAAUUGUUGUGUGGGGAUGAUCCCCCUCUAGUUCAUGGGGUUAGGGUUAGGGUUCAUGGGGCCAGGGUUAGGGUUCAUGGGGUUCAUGGGGUUAGGGUUCAUGGGGUUAGGACCUCCUGGUGGUUCAUUUGGUUCUAAUUGAUUCUAAUUGUCAAAAUGUCUUAACUUGUGUCAUCUAGGCUGUAGCCAUUUUUGGUGUGUAGAGGCAGCAUAAUCAAUAGUUGAGUAUAGUUUUUUCAUCUACUUUUGUACUACUGCAAGUAUAGUUGUUUCAUGCUUUACCAGUGGCAACAUCUAGUUGUUUUGAAGGUCCUCAUGAUAUACUCGUCUAGCUUGCUGUCAGACUGUCUAAGCAUGUGUACAUGACACCAAUUCACUAGUUCAUGUUGCUUGCUUGCUAGCAUACAUGUUGCUUGCUGGCAUACAUGCUUAAUUAGGGUUUCCAUCAGCAUUACUUGCUUGUAUCACUAGCACUUGAAGAAGAAUCUACUCGCUUGCUUAUUAAUUAGGGUUUGUAUCAAUAGUACUUGCUUCCUUCUCUUCAUUUUCCUUCAUUCCUUGCUUGUUUCUAUCAGUAGCACUUUGCUUGCUUGCUUCUAUCAGUAGCACUUUGCUUGCUUGCUUGUAUUAGUAGCACUUAUGUACUUUGCUUGCUUGCUACUAGUGUACAUGCAUGCUUGUUUAGUGCACUUACAUGUUUUCUUAAUUAAUAACACUAGAUCACUGUAUUGUUGAUCCAUCAAGUUUGUUUCACAUGUAUUACAUGUAUGUGCAUGAUGGUCCAAAUGCUUUCCUUUAUUGAUACAAGUGCAUCAUUUUACUUUAUCCCUGUUGUAUCUGAUUGUUGUUUAUUCUAUUUUGCAAGCACCACGUCAAGAUCAUCCAUGGCAAGGAUGACAAGGUCAAGCAUGAGGCCAACCGUUGGUAUGAAACUUGCUCCUUGUGGUUAUACUGUCAGUUUCAUAAAAUAUGUGUCUUAAUAUGCUAAGUGAAAUGUAUUGCUGCAAUCUGAAUAAGCUGGCUUAAUUGUGCCUGUGUGCUGUUAGUCUUCCUUACCUGAAUAACUAGGAUUAAAUGAUAAUAAAAUUUCAUAAGAUAUAUGUUUGGCUGCCUGUCCAUGCAUUCCAAACAUUCACCUAAUAGUUACGUUUCCUUUAUCAUGCAAAGAAGAGCCUCUCACCGAGUACGAGAAGGUUAGGACUAGAAAUAUCAUGAGGAACAAUUGGAUGUUCCAGUCCCUUAGCAUCAGUGCAAUAGCGUCGAUGAUUAGGAAAACAAAUGGUGUAUAAGAAGGUAGAAGUGAUGAGGUUCAAGAGGGUAGUGGAGUUAUCAAUGAUGACCCAGAGUACAAUCCUAAGGAGGAUGAAGUUAUUGAUGGAGAGGAAGUGGAUGAUGUUGUACUGAACAAGAUUGUUAAGGUGCAAACUCUGUCUUGCUUGGAGGGUUGGGGUUCUGUUAUUCUAUGUUAUUCCUUGUGCUCACAUAUUUCUCUUGUGAUCUAAUGCUUUUUCCCGUGCUAUUUAUAUGAGGCACUGAAGGAAUCUAGGACGAAGAGGCCUGGUGUUAAGAAGACAGUCAGCAAGAAGAACAAGAGCUCAGAAACAUCUGCUGCAAUGCCUCCGGGAAGGGUGAUGGCCCCAGCUCCAGGACAAAAAAGAGGAUCCUGGAACCUGGUGGACCUGCCCUUGGUAGAGUCACAAGGCAGAAAGCAAGGAUGGCGACUGCGACGGACCAUCAGGAAAGUAUGCUGCACAUGGACUCUCAGACCUCGGUGCAAAUGGGUGAUGAGUUGCCGCCCAUGGAUGAAGGAACCACUCUCAGCAUGGAUGGAAGUGGCACUGUCUGCCUAGAUGAAGCAGGAACCAUCUGCAUUGAUGAAGCAGGCACUGUCCACACAGACCUCAGCCCUGUUGCACCUUCUAUUGACAGGAACGUUGUCAUCAAUGAAGAAGAACAGCAGCUUGUGCUUCAAUCAGGCAAGUUGACCUUUGCAAUGCUAUCUUUUACUAGUGCAUUUUCCAAAUAGAAUGAUCAUGUAUGCUUUUGUCGAUUCCUGCAUUUGUCGAUUUCUAUUCUAAUUUAUGAGUUCAGUUUCAUUUUCAGAUGCAAUGACUCCCAAGACUAGACUUAGAAAGGGCAAAGGGCUAGAGAGGAUCACCAAGUCGCUUGGUAGCAAGGUGCCUAUCCAAAUUGCCGAAGGGAUGAUGCAUCCAGAGAAGCCUCUGCAGGCAGCAAAGCUUGCUUCUAAGUGUGGACUCGUUGCAAAAAGCCAUCUUCCGGUUCUUCCUCACUUCAAGCUAUACAAAAAAAUGCUAGUCUAUUGGAGAACUACAUUGGGAAAGAUGCUGUAAGCUACUUGUUUCAUAGUUAAUGUGCUAUCUAUUUUCUGUUACACCUAUGCAUGAUCACUAAUAUUGUUCCUACCUUGUUUGCUAUCUUGGUAGGCAAAUUUUGAGAUGAACACGGACUCGGAGACCAUCAAGACUGCAUGGAAAGAUAUUCUACAGAAAUAUUCAAAGAACAGAUGCCAUCAGAUCAAGAAGAAGUAUUUUGAUACCGUAGCCACAAAUAAAGUCAGCAUUAAGUCUCCGGUGCCUGAUCUAACGGAUGGUGAAUGGUAAGCUCUGGUGGAGAUGUGGUCUACCCCAAGACACAAGGUUUGUCUCUGCUUUGUUUGAUGCUUUAUGUUCUGCACAUGAUAUGCUAGUGCUAGAUCAUGCUGACAGUAUGCUUUUUUGUAGGAAACCUAUGUGUCGAACAAGAUGAAUCGAGAAAAAGUCGUGUACAAUCACAGAACUGGUUCCAGGCACUACACAGAACACAUUUUUGCCACUGUGAGAACUCUUCUCUAGAGACCUUACCAUUUGAUCCUCAUUGAAUAACAUUUCUGAUUCUUGCUGAAUAACAUUUUGAUUUUUGUUGAAAAACAUUUCAGAAAGAAGAGCGUAAGGGUGAGGAGCUGUCUACGAUUGACUUGUUUAAGGCCACCCACAACAGCAAGAAGCACGGGUUUUUGGAGCCAGUCAAGACUGCUAUAGUAAGUCACUCCAUGCUUUGCCCUGUUUGAUUCACAGCCAGCUUUAAUGCUUUGAUGAUUUGAUGUUGUUUGAUUCGGAGCCAGUCAAGAACACACGCUAUGUUCCAUGCUUUGAUGUUGUUUGAUAGUUCAACAAAGAUAUCAGAACUUGCUGUAGCUAUUUGAUGCAUUUUUUAUGAUAUGAUGAUAUUUGAUCUGAAUGUUAGUUUGAUGAUCGGCUCACUCGGGAAGCCAUCUUAUAUAGAACCACCAUUCUAGGCUUAAUGAAGUGAUCAUAUUGUUCCAAUUGCAUGUCUCCAGGUCACUAGUCAUCAUCUUCUUGUAUAGAUUUUGUGUGCUGGUUUGGUUACUUCAAAUAAUCCAUUUGUGUGCUGGUUUGGUUUCUCUUGCUUGGUUUGGUUUGCAAAAUGUGAAAUAGAUCUCCCACUAAUGCCUAUCAUUUUCCUCCAUAUGCUAGCUUGAGAUGGAAAAAAUGAAGGACGCUUCGGUACCAGAAGGUGAAGAGCCAAAGUCUGCUGUUGAAAUUGUCGAACAAGUCCUCAAGACCGAAGUCAAGCAAAGCACAUUCCUCAGGAAUGUUGGGCUCCAGUCAUCUAGGAACAACUCUGGCAAAGCAACUGCUGAAGUGGCCGCUCAUGUUCGUGACCUUGAGCAGAAGCUGGAGAGGUCUGAGCUUCAAGCUGAAGUGAUGCAAGAAGAAUUGGCGGCAAUCAAGAUGAAGGCGGAAGAAUCUGAAGCUGCACGCAACAAGGAACUUGAGCUGCUGCGCAAGAAGUCUCAAGAGCAGGAAGAGCAGUUAGCCCACUUGAUGGCUCUCUUUGGAGCUAAGGCAGUUUGAUGGUCUUUGAACCUGCUGUGCAGUUUGUCUUUGAACUUGAUGUGAAGUUAUGUCGUAGUAGGUCGUGAACUUAUGUGGAUCUGGUAGUGUUUUGCAUUUGGUAGUGUUUGUUGCAUUUUGCACUUGGUAGUGUUUUGCAUCUGGUAGUGUUUUGCACCUGGCUGUUUUAUGCCUUGUGGAUCACUUGUGGAUCUUGUGAACCUGGGUCUGUUUAUAGUUAUGUGGAUCUUGUGAACCUUGGCUUGUGGAUCAUUUUCUGAAGUCAUGCAAAAUAUGAACCUGGGCUCUAAAAAGGCCGAGGCCCAAACAAGAAUUAGACCAAAAAGGCUUGGGCCUAAAAAAAGAAAUGACUGUAGGAAAAAAAAUUACAAAAGGCUGCAUAACACAAAAUAAAAAGGCCAAGGCCCAAAUUCGAACUAGACUAAAAAGGUUGUGGCCCAAAACAAUAGUGGAAUAUAAAAAAUUCAUCAGAAAAAGGCUCCAUUCCCAGAAAAUAAAAGGCCAAAUUAUUGGGCCAGGCCCAUGCAGAUAAGCAAAAUAAAGAGAGAAAAAUUAAAUGGGCUGAAUUAUUGGGCUUGGCCCAUCAAGACAGCUAAAAUGGACCGGGCUGAUUCUAUUUUACAAUCUUUUCAUUUGGUCGUAAUUCUGCCACGUCAGCUUGCCACGGUGGAUCUGACGUGGUGUGGUCGGAUUGCUAGUGACCAAAACAAUUGGUCGUUAAAUCUACGACCUUUUUUUUGGUCAUAAACGUUUACGACCAUUCCAGAAGAAAGGUCGCUAAUGUCAGUUUAUGACGGCCAGCUUUUGACCUUAUGUUUUUGGUCACAAAAAGGUCACAAAUGGAAAUUUGUGACCAUUCAGUGACCAAUAGUGGUGGUCACAAGUUGACAUAUUUCUUGUAGUGGCAUAAAACCUAGGCUCGGAUGCCACUGUUGGGGAACAUAGUAAUUUCAAAAAUUUCCUACGCACACGCAAGAUCAUGGUGAUGCAUAGCAACGAGAGGGGAGAAUGUUGUCUACAUACCCUCGUAGACCGGAAGCGGAAGCGUUAGCACAACGCGGUUGAUGUAGUCGUACGUCUUCACGGCUCGACCGAUCAAGCACCGAAACUAUGGCACCUCCGAGUUCUAGCACAUGUUCAGCUCGAUGACGAUCCCCGGACUCCGAUCCAGCAGAAUGUUGGGGAAGAGUUCCGUCAGCACGACGGCGUGGUGACGAUCUUGAUGUUCUACCGUCGCAGGGCUUCGCCUAAGCACUGCUACAAUAUUAUUGAGGAUUAUGGUGGAGGAGGGCACCGCACACGGCUAAUAGAUCUCAAUGAUCAAUUAUUGUGUGUUUGGGGUGCCCCCUUGCACCCGUAUAUAAAGGAGCAAGGGAGGAGGAGGCCGGCCCUAGGAGGGGGCGCGCCAAGUGUGGAGUCCUACUAGGACUCCCUAGUCCUAGUAGGAUUCCACCUCCCAUAUGGAAUAGGAAAAGAGGAAGGGAAAAGGAGAAGGAAGGAAGGGGGCGCCCCCCUUCCCUAGUCCAAUUCGGACCAGACCAAGGGGAGGGGUGCGGCCACCCUUGAGGCCCUUUUCCUUCUUUCCCGUAUGGCCCAAUAAGGCCCAAUACGUAUUCCCGUAACUCUCUGGUACUCCGAAAAAUACCCGAAUCACUCAGAACCUUUCCGAUGUCUGAAUAUAGUCGUCCAAUAUAUCGAUCUUUACGUCUUGACCAUUUCGAGACUCCUCGUCAUGUCCCCGAUCUCAUCCGGGACUCCGAACUCCUUCGGUACAUCAAAAAUCAUAAACUCAUAAUAUAACUGUCAUCGAAACCUUAAGCGUGCGGACCCUACGGGUUCGAGAACAAUGUAGACAUGACCGAGACACGUCUCCGGUCAAUAACCAAUAGUGGAACCUGGAUGCUCAUAUUGGCUCCCACAUAUUCUACGAAGAUCUUUAUCGGUCAAACCGCAUAACAACAUACGUUGUUCCCUUUGUCAUCAGUAUGUUACUUGCCUGAGAUUCGAUCGUCGGUAUCUCAAUACCUAGUUCAAUCUCGUUACCGGCAAGCCUCUUUACUCGUUUCGCAAUACAUCAUCCUGCAACUAACUCAUUAGUUGCAAUGCUUGCAAGGCUUAAGUGAUGUGCAUUACCGAGAGGGCCCAGAGAUACCUCUCCGACAAUCGGAGUGACAAAUCCUAAUCUUGAAAUAUGCCAACCCAACAAGUACCUUCGGAGACACCUGUAGAGCACCUUUAUAAUCACCCAGAUACGUUGUGACGUUUGGUGGCACACAAAGUGUUCCUCUGGUAAACGGGAGUUGCAUAAUCUCAUAGUCAUAGGAACAUGUAUAAGUCAUGAAGAAAGCAAUAGCAACAAACUAAACGAUCAAGUGCUAUGCUAACGAAAUGGGUCAAGUCAAUCACAUCAUUCUCCUAAUGAUGUGAUCUCGUUAAUCAAAUGACAACUCAUGUCUAUGGUUAGGAAACAUAACCAUCUUUGAUCAACGAGCUAGUCAAGUAGAGGCAUACUAGUGACACUCUGUUUGUAUAUGUAUUCACACAUGCAUUAUGUUUCCGGUUAAUACAAUUCUAGCAUGAAUAAUAAACAUUUAUCAUGAUAUAAGGAAAUAAAUAAUAGGUUUAUUAUUGCCUCUAGGGCAUAUUUCCUUCACAAAUAACAAAGUUCUAGAUCGAUGUGAAAGAGUGGUCGGCCCUGUAUUUGUUUCAAUAGAGAAAUGAGAACAUACCUAAGCUUGUAGUAAUUCUACGUCUGAGGAGACCAGUAGGUAUAGAUAAUAUAUGCAUAACUUCCUGCGUACGGGGAAGCUCUUCUAGGAGUGUUCUCUAUUGGUAGUGCCUCCCUGGCCGCCCCUGCCCUCAUAGGCACGUGAGAUCUGGGUGUAGACACAUGGUAGUUACCGCCUUGGUGGCUUGGAUUAAGUGUGGGGGGGGCUAGUAACUUGGCGGAGCUAGCAGUCUUGCCCUGUGUGUUCUCCCUUCUCCUUUCAAAGUGGUGACGCCACUUGUAACAGUUACAUGAUCCAUGUCGAUUCAUAAUGUCAUUGUUUCUCACCCACUCCUCAUGAUAUUUGGGGUCGUAAGGAACAACUUUUCCAUCUAUAAAUGGUUCACCUGAAAUACAAAAAGACAUACACCCAGAUCUCCUUACCAUAUGGACAUAGAUGAAACCGAAAAUAGUGCACAAUCCUAAAUCAUCCAGGGGAAGAGUAAGACAAUAGAUUAAAACAAGUUAAAGAUGCCAUCUCAAGAAGUCAAGGGACUCAGAAGGCCAAAACAGAAUGACAAAAAACACUUGAUCUAUAUGCCAAUACAAAAAGAGCGAGUUACGGAGAUUCAACAAAUCUCACUCGUUCACUAUACAACCCAGACCAAUGGUCUCGGUCGCUCUAAUAUUUAGCGUUAAACAUGUUUAGCACUAAAUAUGUUUAGCACCCUUCUCUAAUUACUAUCAUGCCUAAUAUGAACGUGAGCAUUAACCAAGAAACUUUAUCCUACUUAAUAUUAACAUACAAUUUAUAUCUUGCAUAAUACUAAUGUGCAAUACAAUUAAUAUUGUGCCAAAUAUUGCACAAUUACUAUUAUGAUAAGAGCAUACACAAUCGGACCCCUCAAUAAACCUUCCCCAAACCUCUGGGCGGAUAACUCGGUCACUGCCCGGUCGAUCACAACAGAUUAAAACAAGUUAAAGCUCCCAUCUCAAGGAGUCAACAGAUUAAAACAAGUUAAAGAACAGACUAGUAAAUCUUUACGGUAGCCAUUUCAAAAUACUUCGGUGAAUGAUACUUAAUCAGAUAGGAAGCACAUUGACAUUACCUCCGUACACCUUUUUUUGACAUCAGGGUAUGAAUCAGGAAGAAUCCAGCGGACAUUAGGCAACUCUGAAUUAAUGAUUUAGUGGCAUGAGUUUAAAACCAGAAAAUUUGAAGUCACUUACAUAAAUAGAUCGCAUACAAAUAAUUUCAUGCAAUGUCCAAUACCAUUGAGUUUUUGGGUGAUUUCCUCGGAUACUAGAGCUCCAAAAGCAAAAUAAUGUCGAGUUGACACAGAGUAGAUCUUCAUCCUAGCUUCGUCUUCACUGGAACAUAUGACAGAUUUGAGAUACAUUCAUACAAAUAUGUUAUAAAUAGUACAUUAAUUAUUGAAACACAUUGUAUAAUAUUUGAGACAACCAAAACAUCAAGGAGAACUCCGUCCCUGUCCUCGAAAGAAUAUGCUGCUAUGGUCGUGAGAGACAAACAAAAAUAUUACAAAAUGGUAAAACUGCAACAGAUGUCUAAUGAAAUCUAAUAGUAAGCAUGAUCCUCAAGUAAGAAUCACCAUCAGCAUAAAUGACAAAGGUGAGUCUUGAAUGAACAUGUAUACAAAGCAUCGUAUAAAUGACAAAAUGACACAAAACAGGUAACAUACAUAUUUUACACUUCUCCAAUCCCGAUCUGUCAUGAGGGCAUCUCCAAGGCGACCCUCGAAUUGCCUCCAUCCGUCCGGACCAUGCUGUCCGGACCACGGAAGCCAUCCAACGCGGUUCUGUAUCAGUCUGCGGCACGGUCCGGAUGUACUUUCUCUCGCAAAACGGAGACAAAUAUGGGGAGUUUUGCGGGAGGACGGACAUCCUCAUGACAAACCAAAAGUCGCCACGUACCCACCUCUUCGUUCGGAUGGCGGAAGGCUAGCAAUGUUAGGUGAUUAGUAUUUGGGCAUUUGGCGGAAGCUUUGCAAAUAAAGUUGUGCAUUUGGCGGAAGGUUACUUCUUGCCACAUGAUUAGCAUUAGGGAAGGUGAUUAGUAUUUGGGCAUUUGGAGGAAGCUUUGCAAAUAUAUUUGGGCAUUUGGCUGAAGGUUAUUUCUUGCCAUAUGAUUAGCAUUUGACAAGAUGAUUAGUUUUCUAUUAAGGUUCUUUAUCACACGUUGGCGAAAUGGUGGAAGCUUUGUAAAUAGAUUUGGCCUUUUGGCGGAAGGUUUGAAAAUGACCAAACCCAUUUGGCGGAAGGAAGCUAGUUCAGUGGCGGAAGCAGCUAGCUUUGGCGGAAACUACACUGUCACACGGAUUAAUAGCCUUGUGCCAAACAAAAAGCGACUAAGCACAGUUUUUAAAAGGGAAUUAUGGUUAUUUGGCGGUUAAAAUUUAACAAAGACGGACAUACAUUUACAGCUAUGGUUGGAUGGCGGUCUUCCGUAUCCUUGUCCACGAACUUAUCCCCUGUCCGUGGACAGAUGAGGAAGGAAAUUUGCAGGUUAUCGUUGGAGAUGCCCUAACCCGGCCCUAUGUAUCAAUGCAGUAUACUGAUGGGCACCGAACUGGUGCUGCUACGUAAGGAAGCAAGUCACACACGGGAAAAGGGAAUAGAACUUGCCUUUGGCUUUCUUCCUCCUCCGGCUAUUUCCUUCCCUCGUAUCAGACGAGAGUAUCGCAUCCUCCUCCUUGCUGCUGCUGCUUCUUCUUCUUUCUACCCCUAAUUCUGUGUUCUUUCCAUCGUAAACUCUUAUCUCUUUACAAUCUCUAGGGAGUAGUGAGAGGGGCAAAUAGCUCCCAUGCGACGUUGUUGGUGUGAAUUGUCUCUUAUGCGACGUCGUUGGUUGUAAUAGCUCUCAUGCGACAUCUGCGUUGGAAAAAAUAGCUCCCAUGCGACACUGCUGCCUAAUCCAAAAACACAUGUUUAAAACUCGAAUCAGGUGAGCGGGACCCACAGCGUGGGACCCACUAACUUAUCCAACUCAGCAUUGGUCAGGUGAGCGGGACCCACAGCGUGGGACCCACUAACUUAUCCAGGUUAGCAUUGGUACAAGAGGACACCGAGCCGUGCCCCGAGGCGUGCAGCACCCGAGCCCAUCCUCCCCCCCCCUCCCCCCUCCCCGACCAUUGUUGUUCUUCUUCUCCGGCGACGACGCGCAGCAACGCCAUUCCGGGCCGCGACCUAGCAAUGUCGAGCUCCGCUUCAGCCUCCCGCCGCUCAUGGCCGCGCUAUGGCGCAGCGCCCAUGACAAGGUGCCCUGCAUGCCCACGUAUCGCACCCCUGAAGCGGCUAGUCACAACGACCGACAAGAAUGGCAACCUUGGGCGGGAAUUCGUGAAAUGCGAGAGCAAACCAGAGCAGGGAAAGGUGAGAUUUUACUUCUCAAUAUGCCAAUUUUGGUUUUUGUCUCCCAAUUUCAUGUUUGCCCAAUUUUUCCCCAUUUUUCAUCGGAUUUGGGAUUUAGGGUUCAUCUUUCCAAUUUCAGAAAUUGAAGCAAUGCACCCAUUUUGAGUGGCUAGAUGAGUACAUAGAGCGGAUUCAACUGGAGGGUGCAUCAGGGGAACUCGAUUUACCGUUGGAGGCGGAGAAGUUGGGCAAGUUUGGAUUGGGCGCGUCUGGAUCUGGGGCCCGUGGAUCUGCCCAUUCCAUUGGGGCUACUGUGGGGGAUGCAGUAGUGACGGCAGAGCUGAAGAAGUUGAACAAGCAGAUGAAGAAACUCAUCAAAUUGCAGAAGCAGGGCAAUUUGAUGGGGCUGAUGGCCGGACUUUUUUAUGUUUGUGUAAUUGCUCUCGCAUUUGUUUAUGUGAUGAUAAUUAGUCGUAAGUGAAUAGAUUGGGCAUCAUUUGUAAUCGUAAUGAUAUGUAUAUUUGAAUAAAAGUGUUGCGUUGUACGAAUUCAGCAUGUCCUCUCCACUCUGUUUCGGCUCCGUUUUUUUUAGUUCUUCAGUUCGUCAUCAGUUUCAGUUUCAGUGAUAGAGGGAGAAAAGGAAAAAAAGGUUCGUCCAAAGUUGCCCGAAAAGGCCAGGCCCAAUAGAAGUUAGGCAGGGCCGAAUGGAACAUAUCCAGGCCCAUUGAUAAAAGAAGUGUAGCUAGUGCAAAAAAAAGUGCACACGGUCAUUGACAUCGAUAUAUCUUUUCGGCUUUAGGUUAUUUCACAAAUUUUAAGUUUCCUGCAGUCACCUUUUUUGAGAUAACUCAUCUGAUAAUUAUUUGAGCUAUUUUUAUGCAUAAGCUAUCGUUUCCAAUGGUAGGGUCCCGUGUUGUUUCGGCUAAAACAAAAGGUUGGUUCUGGUUAGCAGUCUAACUUGCAGUCUUUGUGAACCAAAAAAGUUGCAAUUGUUUGGUUCUAGUUUAUUUCAACCAAGCACCAUUUUUUAAUUAUUAUUUUUACUUGUGCUAUGGUGUUUUCAAAGUUUUUACUCGUGUGUUUCAAACGAAAAAGGUUGUGCCUCUCUCAAAAAAGAAGACAUCUAGUGUGCCCCUAGUAGCAUCUCCUUACAACAUAGAGGGGCAUCCCCUUACAACAUAUAGUGCAUAAAACAUAAAAGGAAGAUAAUUAACUAGACACGUGCUAACAACAACUUAUAUGAUUGGAUCAUGUUUUAGUGCAUUUUUUAGUACACAUGGCCACAUAAAUAAAAUGCAAUGGAGAAACUUUAGGACCAAAAAAACAUAUAGAUAGAUAGAGGGGCAUCGGGUACCCUAGUAGCAUAGAUAGAUAGAACAUAUAGAGGGGCAUCCCCCCCCCCCCACUACAUAUAGUUCAUAAAACAUGAAAGGAAAAUAAUUAAAACUAGAUAGAUAGAAGACACAGGCACACACGCCCGAACCAACACAAACACAAACUAGAUAGAUAGAAGACUCGCACUUGAACAACUCCUUGGCCCCUCCUCCUUGGGCCCCUCUUCCUUAGCCGGCGCCCCUCACUCGUCGUUCUCCGGCAUCUAGUAGGGGAGGGUGUGCAUGCCGUUGGGGUGAGGGAAGAUGUGGUGGAAGUUGGUGAAGAUGUUGUAGGUCGUGAACGCGAUAAACUCGCAUCCACACCAGAACACCUCGCCGAGGAGGUGGUGAGCGUCGUAGGGGUUGGUGAAGGUGACGUAGAGGCCGAUGACGAAGCCGUUGGCAUUGCCAUCGUACUGCUCGUGGAGGUGGAACAUGGGCGGAGUGCCCGGAGGGAGGUGGCAGUAGCCGGCUUGGAGGAAGAAGCGAGUCAACUCUCUAGGGCCCCUCCACCUUGAGAUGGCCCACACCCUCAGGCUAUUCUCAAUGACGACUCCGGCCGGGUACUGCCUCUCCGGCACGGUGCGGGGGCGACGGUAGGUAGGGCCAUUGAACUUCAUGGUGGCUCGAGUGGUGGAUUUGGCUCGAAAAGAAGAAGGGGAGGAGGCUUGAGAGAUGAGUGUGAGAGGAUGAGGAAAUGGUGCCCUUUUAUAGCCGCGUUGCAGUCGUGGUCAAUGUGUACACAGUGCCUUCUCGAUCGUUUUCUCUUCUCUGUUCGCACUGGCAUAAGUAAUUGCGGGCAUUAAUUCAAAAAAUGGCGGGCAGAGCAUCCAAAGAGGCACAGGCCCGUUCAUCCGCGCAUGACACUGAAAAAGGAGCUGCACCACCGACGCGUCCGUCUCGUUCAAGCAUGCAUUUGUUAAAAUAGCUUAGAUGCGACGUACCUAUACGCUGCGCCCCUGCCAUGCUUUACUGCGUCGAUGCGUGCAUGCAAGCCCGCAUGCAAAUGGCUAGGCUGUGUCACACGAGCACAGAAUAGCUAGGCUGCGACGUUGCAUGGCAUGCAUGGGACAGGGAUGGCCCACAUGUCAUUGACCCUCUCACAUGCAGCCCCCCCUCUCGACGGCCGUGCGCACGCACGCCAGGCUCUGCCGGGCCCGAUCCGCUCGGCCCAACGGUCACUUAGAUGCUCCCCCGCUCAACGUUAUCUGUUCGUCAGAGAGAAAAAACGGUGGCCAAUCAGAUUGGAGAAUCAGGGCUCCCACGGAUCGCCCCCGCGGAAUCCUUCUAGAAGGCCUAUCCGACGGUCGUAGUUUAGCGUUAGGGUUAGAUCGACGGUGGACGUUUGGCGCUAGGGUUACAUGGGUUUUGGAGGCAGUCAACGGGGUUUUGAAAGGUUUGACCGAACAUUCAAAUGUGUAUAACUAAUUUAAAAAAAUCUAAAAAAUGAAAAACCUGCGCAUAUCGCCUUUUUAUGUUACAUAGUUAUGAUAUAAAAUGAUAAACUUGAUCUAAUGAUCUUUGCAUGAAAAAACCUUCACAAAUUGGACUAUCUCGACUGAGGUUGCGUAGAGUUCAAAGGAGUGAGAAGAGGGUUUGAGGUUUUGAAAAUGCAAAAAAAAUCAAAAACAUCACCUUAGCUUCACUUUAGAGUGACUAAGGAGGAUCUGAAGUUAUUUUUGCAUUUUAAAUUUUUAAACUUGUUUUAUUGCUGACUUUGUAUUAAAGGGUGUUUUUUCAAAAAUAAAUUAAAUAAUAUGAAUACUUAUUCAAAAAAAGGUGAGACUUCGUAUUGAUCCUAUAUAGGUAUAAUAUAAGCUAAGAAAAUCUUUUUUGGGUGAUUUUAAGAAGGUCGAAAAAAACUUGCUUAGAAAUGGGGCCGUUUUCCUUACUUUGGAGCCUGUUUGGACAACAUUUUCAGUGACUAUGAGUUGGACUUCACAAAAAGGGUUGGAUUUAUGAACUAAAGUGCAUAGUAGUACAUAAAACGAUGCAACAUCACAGAACAAACAAAUGAACUCAAAAAAUAUUGGAGAUAGGUUCAAAUUUGAAUGUCGGUUCAAAUUUGAAUUUUAUUUCAAGUCAAAUCAACAUCAUAGCACAUAAGUUUUCACAUGAAAGAACAUAAGUUUUCACAUCAAAUGACAAUAAACUUAAGUUUUCACAUCAAAUUUGAAUGAUUUCGACUCUAUUUCUUUUGCUUCUUUCUACCACUCGAUUUCUUCUCCUUUUUUCCAUCGUUUGGUUCCACAGCGCAUAGUUUGUUGAUGCUGAUGCUCUUGCUUUUUGGCCCCUUGGUUUUCUUGCCAACUCCACUAGGCCCCCUCAACUUUUGCACCUGACCAUGUCCCACUUCUUCAGUUUGCACUUCUGCAGAUUGAGUAGAUGGCACACAUUGUUCAACUACUUCAGUUUGCAACUCAACACUUGGCAGCACAACCUCCAAACAUGGCAACACAGUUGUCAAAGCAGAUUCGCAUGGCAGCACAACAGUUGCUUCAUCUGCAACAGUUUUAGAUUGCCCUAGCGCCUACAAAACAGAUUCAGUAUGCAUCACAUAGUCCAAAACAGAAACACUUAGCUCAUGUUCAGCAGUAACAGUUUUAGUUAGCUCCAUAUCUUUGUCACCAAACAUUAUCUGCUUAGUGCUCUUCCUUCUAAAGCCAUUGAGUCUUGCUUUUUUCACUGGCCAGCAUUGUUCAACAACAAGAGGUGGGGCUUUUUCUGCACGCUUCCUCCUAAAAAAUAAAGCAUUUGACUUGGUUAGAUACUAGAACAAGUAGCAAAAUCAAAAACUUGCAAAAACAGUAACAUAAACAUACUUUGGCCUCUGAGGAGUGUAGAUGCACUUGGAUGAACCAAUUAUGUGCCCAAGUACCUCACACAACUUGCACCUAUUUUUGUUACCUUUUUUAGCCCUUUUGGGCUUAUCAUUCUUUUCCUUUUCCUUUUUUCCCUUCUUACUACAACCACCUUUCUCAAACCAAGCUUUGAAUCUGCUCUAUUUAGGCCUCCCAGCCUUUCUUCUAGUGACAGGGGGACACAAGGUAAAUUCUAUUUCCACCUCAGGCCACUGAGAUUGGUCAGUCAGUGCAGGAAUUGGACUUGCAUAUGCAGCUUUGAAUUUUUGUACUAAAUAAUACUCAUGCAAAUAUGGGUGCAUAUUUAACCUGGGUUUAGAUGCCAAAAAAAAGUAUGAAAUGCUCACAUGGUUUUCCAGUGUGUUGCCACUCUUGGCAAGUGCACUCAUGCAACUCAGUAUUUACCACAUGCCUCUUGCCACUCUUUGUAUCUCUAACUUCAGCACCCCACAAGGAAGAUUUCUCAACAGAUAGAUGUGAAAGAUUUCUACUCAUGUUGACCACCUGUUGUACCACUGCUGGAAGCUUGUCCCCUUCCAAAAUAUUAGCAAUUUUUCCUCUCAACUCCCACAAACGCAUGAUCAUGAUCCUUAUUUGGUCCACCAUGUCAUGCAUAGGCAAGUCUUUCAAAUCCUUCACUUUGUUGUUAAAACUUUCUGCCAAGUUGUUAUUGAUAUGAUCACAUUUUAUGGCAGUAUUAAAACCUGAUCUAUACCACAACAGAGAAUGGUGGGUGUUCAAUCAUGAAGCAAAUUCAUUAUCACUACAUGAUGCCAAUAUCUUACCAAGGUGAUAGGAAUAUGUCUGUCUGGUGUAGGAUCUUGCUGCUGGCCACAUGCGCCCAAUUCAUCUCCUCUGAAAAAAUUUUAUCAGAUUCAUCCACAUAUGUCCAAAGCACUCCCUCUGCUCAGCAUGGGGGAAAACAUUUUUUACUGCAUUUUCCAACCCUUUACAUGCAUCUGUGUGGAUGGCCAAAGGAGAAACUGGCCCUAUUCAUCUUUUCAGUUGCAUCAUGAACCAUAUCCAUGAUGCCUCUGUCUCUGAUUGAAACAUUCCUAUUGCAAUUGGGAACAUCCAGUUGUGUCCAUCUAGACAUUGCAUGCAGCCAACUGACCAUUCCACUUUCUAGUCAAAAAAGAUGAGUCUAUGCUCAAAUAUGGACAACAACCUGCUUUGAAUCCAUCUAUGCAAGGCUUCAAACACAUAAAAAAACUUGCUGACCUUGCCAUCCUCUGUUACCUCUGUAUCUAUCUCCACCACACUCCCAGGUGACCUCUUCUCCACCUCUGCUUUAAAACUAUACAACAUCCUAAAUGUAUUUGCCCCGUCACCAUACAAUGAUUUCAUGGCCCUUUGUUUUGCUUUCCACACUGUGGUAUAUUGCAGCUAGAUGGGGUACAGCUUCUCCAAGUCAACUUUAAGCCUCUUUGCAGUAGUGUUUGGAGUCUUGGCUAAAAUAGGAGUAAUCUUCUCUGUAACCCAAAGCUGUGAUGUCAUCUUUGAAACUCUCUGUGAAGUGGUCAUACAUGUAUGCUGGUGUGGUAUUUGAUUUACCCUUAUUGUACUUCCAUCAGGUUGUAGUCUGGCAGACAAGUACCAUUUGCAAGGAUUUCCACCACCAUCAUAACCUUUGCACCGAGCAUAAAAUUUCUUUCGAUCAGUCCACAUAGUCUUGGCAUCAAACUCUUUUUUCACUGCAUAGGUCCUGAAAGACAUCCUAAACUCCUUCAUGCUUGGCCACAACUUUCCCACCUCAAUAACUGGGUUCUCUUUGUCAUAUAAACAAACCAGCUCAUUAUCAUCUACAUCAUCCACAUCAUCCGCAGCCUCUCUCAUCAGUUGUUCUUCAUCCUCAUUUGCAUUUCUAGGGCCUGUUUUACCCUCAGCAGGCAAAGAACUGUCAUCCUUCUCCUUAUCUUUAUCAUCAACUUGAAUGCCAAACAUUUCGGCCAUAUCAAUGUCAGAUAUUGGUGUAAUGACCAAAUCUGUUUUUCAUUCAACUCUACUACAUUCUAGUCAACAACAAUCUUCCUAGCACCAUGGGUUCCCUCCUCUCCAUCUGCAUCAAUCCCUAUAUCUUCAGCUACUACAGUCGGUUCAUUUAACAAUGCCAACAUCUUCUUUUGUGAAACCCACUCAUCAUCUACCAUCUGUGCAGCCAUCUUUGAUGGCACAUAACCAACUCUGGAAUGAGUUUGCAGAUCAAUUAGCUUUGCAUAAAAUGUUACUUGUUUGCUUGCCCACCCUUCUUGCUGAUCAAUUUCAGCAACCAUGGAUUCUCCAUCUUCAAUUCUCACAUAUUCACCAUUAUAGUUAUCGAAACGUUGCAGAGAUACCUCUUGUUCUGGACCCCAAACAAUACUCUCCCCAAUUCUCUCCACCAAAUUGCCCACGGCCUUCUCCUUCAUGCUCUCCAAUUCCUGGGGAUCAACAUCUGCAAAUUCGACAUCCAACCUCACGGUGGUAUCUCUAUCAAUGUCUUGGACACUGCCAUCACUGAGCUUGGCUUUACAGGGAAAAAAUUCCACUAUAAUUGCGAAUGUGGUGGCAGAACCUGAACCUCCCCAGUUUUGUCAAUGGCAGACAGCGGCGGCAGUCACUACCAAAUCGAGUUCGAUUCUAAAUCGCCAAGAAAAGAGGGUGGCAUUACCGAUUUGAAGCACUGUCUCCUCGCUCCAUCUCAUCCAGCCCUCGCUCCAUCUCCUAUCCAAUCGAGAUUCUAAAACGCCAAGAAACAGGGGCAGCAUGAGGCCAUAGAUUUAUCCAAAAUUCAGUGGAAUGGGAGUAGUGUUUGGAAAAUACUCACUCGCAAUAGCCGCUGCAGAGAAAGGCGCUCCACCACCAGGCCGCGGAGAAGAAACAACCCCCGGAUCCAAUGGAGCCCGAUUCUAAAUCGCCAAGAAACAGAGGGCAGCAUGAGGCCACAGAUCCCCCAAAAUUCUGGGGAGUGGGACUAGGGUUUCGGGCUCAUCUCGCAAUAGCUCUGCUACUGCCGAGAAAUGCGCUCCACCACCGCGGAGAAGAAACCGUUGCUGCCGCGGAGAAGAAACCGCUGCUGGAGAAGAUGCUUACGGCGGCGCCGCUCGCCCAGUCCAGCACGGGCCCGUCCAACACGGGCGAGUCGAGCACGGUCACACAGUCACCGGUCGAGUCGUGGACGGUUGACUCUUGACUACGUGGCCAUAGGUGGACCCCACCAAUCAGAGCACAUAACCCCCAGUGUCCUAACCAAACCUCAGCCUAACUAACGGCCAACUAGCCGCGUAAAUGGUGUGUCGCAUGGGAGCUAUUUUUUCCAACGCAGAUGUUGCAUGAGAGCUAUUACAGCCAACGACGUUGCAUGAGAGACAAUUCACACCAACGACGUUGCAUGGGAGCUAUUUGCCCGUAGUGAGAGUUAUAUCCCGUACCCAUGUACUAUGUUGAGAGAAGUAGGUUCGUAACAUGAUCCAGAACCCAUCAAGGGUGAGGGGGGCAUACCAUACCUUCCGAUGACCUGAGCGAGGGUCUUGAUGUAGCCGUCGAUGAUCUCGUCGCGGGGUACGUCAGGGUUGGCCUUGUCGCCUGGGGGCGCCACCAUCUGGAUCUGCCAGUGCUCGAAGUCGCACCCGUCGUCGAGGGGGGUCCUGAUUUCCGCGGGGGAGCAGCUGCUGCGGUUCGGGGACGGAUUAGCAGGUUGCAUCGCGAAUCUCCUGGUCGCCGCCCCGGGCGCCGGGACCGGGGACGGGACCAGAACGGCCGGGAGGACACUCCCCGCGGCCGCGAGCAGGCAGAGGAAGCGGGAGGCGGCGGCGGGGAGGGGCGAGAGCCUAGAGAGGAGGAGCGCGCGCGUGGCCGACGCCAUGGUGGAAAACCCUAGAGGGGAAUGGGUUGGAGACUGGCGAAGGGGUUUAAGGGUCUAGGUAGAGCGUGCGCGAUUUAUAGAGGAUUAGAGGGUGCACCCCUUCUGGACCCUUUCCAUUAGUGCUGAUGACUGAACAUGUGGAGUUUAUUUUUUGUUCUACUUCAGUUUUGGGAAUAUAUAUGCUGCGAGAACAUACGAUGGUGAUCUCACAGGAGAAAGAAAAGAAGAACUAGGAGUGAUGGAAGAGAGACACUUGAUUCCUUGUUGAUUUCGGGUCUACCGGUGCCGGCACUUCAUUUUUCAGUAAUGUUCUGUUACAGCUCCCAUUGGAACUCUCAUAAUUGUGCUCAAUCAUGUUUUCUUAAAUAGGGAAAGUUACUUCAGGAUGUCAAUUCGGACAAAACAACCGAUUGACAGCCCAAGAAGUAUGGAGUGAACUGAGUGAAUUGCAGAAAACCACCACAUUGACGCCUAGGUUUGCAGAAAACUGCAAACACUGGUUUACGAAUUUUUGACAAAAAUCACUGAUUAUUCUCAGCCUAAUUUUUUUGCAAAAAAACACUAACCGGUCGCUUUGGGCAUUUUAACCUCGAUUAUGACAUGUGGGGCCCGCAUUUGAUGACAUGGCGUAACGGCUCAUGUUAGACGGCGUUUGGUCUAAUAUUACAAACUAGUCCCUAAAAUUUUACAUAGAGACCCCUCAAUCAUAAAACAAAAACGCAAUUAGCCCCACCCACGUGCACAGAACCUGCAUCACGGCGCCCAUGGCUCUCGUCGCCGGCUUGGGGUGGCGGAUGGACCUUGCCGGCGUCUAGGUCGAGCACCACGCUGGGCGAUGAGAACUGCGUCUCCCCGAGCGCCGCGACCUGCUGGAGGCGAAGGCAAGCAGGUCGCCGGCGACAAACAGGUCCGCGCGUCGGUCAUUGCACUCUCGUCGUCCUUGCUCGAGCACCACGGCUGCACCGGCUCGGAAGAGGCCGGCGACGGCCUUGCGGUUGGACGCCAACCGGCUCGAGCAUGCUCUCAACACACUGCGACGCCGCGUCGCUUUUACUCUCGGUAACGGCGGAGGAUGUGGCUGGACCAGCGUGGCCUUCCGUCCUCCGUCCCGACGACCACGAUGGCAAGGAUGUGCGGCGUGCAGCUCACGGUGGCGCGCACGGCUCACACUGGAAAGGGCACCGGCGGUGGGGACAAUGUUUCUUCGCGGCGGGGGGGCAAGGUGGUUCUUCAUGGCUCACACCGGACGGGGCACCGGCAGCGUUCUUUGCGGCGGCUGAGGCUCAGGGUCCUCAAGACCAGCAAGCACCCCGGGCUGGUUCCACGAGCAGGGAGUCGACCAGGAGUACGAGAGAGGUAGGAAGGAGCUCCGGCCAAGGAACUAGCGGGAGGAGGAGAGGGCAUGGUGUGUUGGAGAGCCAGAUCCCGAUCUGGAUCGGGGAGGAAGAGAGGUGUUUUUUCAGAAAGGGGAGGACUUUUUGACAAAAAGACCCGUUUAAUGCCAUUUAUCAUGAACCGUUAUGCCACGUGAGCACAAAGUGGGUUCUAUCUAUCAUAAUCAUCAUUAAAAUGGACAAAACCGUCAACUAGCACUAAUAGAAAAAGGGUCAAAUGUGAAGCACAUUAGUGCCGGUUUGAAUUUGAGCCAGCACUAAUGUGUCCAUUAGUGCCGGUUCCAACGGCUAGGCGGGCGAACAUCAUUAGUACCGGUUCGUGGCAAACCUUUAGCACCGGUUCGUGCCACGAACCGGUACUAAAGUGAGUGGUGGCAGGAUGUUGUCAGUCCGGGGCCCCUCCAGCACCUUUAGUACCGGGUCGUAUCACGAACCGGUACUAAAGGUCGUCCUACAUAGACCCUUCGUCCACCCGAGCUCGCUCUGUUCUUCCCCUUUACCCUCUCCUCUCUGUUCUUUUCCCUCUUCCUCUCAAGCUCAUCACACAUUUUGCCCAAAAUUUGUCAAGAUUUGAAGGGGCCCAUCCAUUCAAAUGAUCACAAAGGUUAGCAACUUUGUCCUUUCAUCUCUCAUUGCUAGAUUAGCUCGUGCAAUGCUUUAUAUAGUGAUUGAUUUUUGAGUUUAGUAAUUUGGGAGGAAUUAUAUAUAUGUGCUAGUAUUUGAUUUAUAUGCAAUUUGAGGUCAAAAAUAACACUUAGUUUGCAUAUGUAGGUGUGGUUUACUUAGUGCCUUCUAAAUCUCCGUCGUAACCACCGUCGAUCACCCGCAACGUCCCGUCGCCGGCACCACCUUGUGGUGAGCCUCUUGUUCAUGAAGUUUUAUAUAAAAAAUUGAUGUUUGUGUGAUUUGGAUAUAUAGUUACUCGUAUAAUUAUCUUACCCAUACGUUGUUUGUUAUACAUAGUGCCAUGGUUUUGAUAUCCGUCCCCGUCGGCCCUCGUCCGGGUUAUGAUUCGGAUGUGGUAUAUUCUCUUUUAGAACUAUUCAUUGCAUUUUGUGUUUAUGACAAAUUAUGCCCAUCAAGUUGACAUAGAUAUUUGUAUGUAGGAGGUAGUUGAACCGGAAAUUCCAACCGACCCUAUUGUCGAGAGGUUAAAUUUAGUUGAAAGAGAAAACGAGGAUUUGAAGGAAAAAUUGAAAAGAAUUAAGGGGGAGAAGAUGGAAUUGGAGUUGCAUGUUGCCGAUGUCGUCGAUGAUCACAAGAUUAAGAUGGAGAAAAUGCGCUUGAAUAUUAGAAAGAUUAGAAAAUAUGACAUUCAUAGUGAGGCUUGGUAUCAUUUAUGCUGUUGGAUCAAUUGUUAUCUUAGUUGCGAUCUUGAUCGCAUUUGUUGUUGCAUUUAAAUUCUUUAGCUAGAGAGUUAUUUGUUUGUUGCAUUUAAGUGUUGUAUAAUCUUUAUGUAUGAACUUUAUGUAUUGUAUUAAUUUGGUGUUUUCGGUGUUGUGUAUUGAAGAUGAGCCGGCAAUGGACGUACGAUGACCGAUGCUCUCCUGAGUUCAUUAAUGGCGUGCGUACUUUUCUGCUUGCGGCUGAGGCAAACAAGCGGGUGGAUGGUUUUAUGCCUUGUCAAUGUGCUGGUUGUAAGAAUGGUCACAAUUACUCUACGUCAAGAACCAUUCACGUCCACCUGUUUGAGUCCGGUUUCAUGCCCCACUAUAAUGUUUGGACCAAGCAUGGAGAAAGAGGGGUUAUGAUGGAAGACAAUGAAGAAGAAGAGGACGACGACAGCUAUCCUGGCCAUGGGUUCCCUGAAUACGAUGAUACAACAAUGAGGGAAGAAGCUGAGCCGGUAAUGCGCGAAGAAGCUGAGCCGACAAUGCGGGAAGAAGCUGCAGAAGAGGCAUCGGAUGAGCCCAUUGAUGAUCUAGGUCGGGCCAUUGCCGAUGCAAAGAGAAACUGCGCAAGUGAUUUGGAGAAGAAGAAGUUCCAGUGCAUGUUAGAGGAUCACAAAAAAUUGUUGUACCUGAAUUGUGUAGGUGACAAGAAAAAGCUGGGCACCACACUGGAAUUGCUACAAUGGAAGGCAGAGAAUGGUGUAUCUGACAAGGGAUUUGGAAAGUUGCUGGUAAUGAUAAAGAAUAUGCUUCCAAAGGACAACGAAUUACCCGCGAGUACGUACGAAGCAAAGAAGGCUGUCUGCCCUCUAGGGUUAGAGGUGCAGAAGAUACAUGCAUGCCCUAAUGAUUGCAUCCUCUACCACGGUGAGUACGAGGAUUUGAACGCUUGUCGGGUAUGCGGUGCAUUGCGCUAUAAGAUCAGCCGCGAUGACCCUGGUGAUGUCGAGGGCGAGCGCCCCAGGAAGAAGAUUCCUGCCAAGGUGAUGUGGUAUGCUCCUAUAAUACCACGGUUGAAACGUUUGUUCCAAAACAAAGAGCAUGCCAAGGCGAUGCGAUGGCGCAGAGAAGACCAUAAGAAAGACGGAAAGUUGAGAGUACCCGCUGACGGGUCGCGGUGGAGAAAAAUCGAAAGAAAGUACGGGAAGGAGUUUGCAGAUGACGCAAGGAACGUAUGGUUUGGUCUAAGCGCAGAUGGCAUUAAUCCUUUUGGGGAGCAGAGCAGCAACCAUAGCACCUGGCCUGUGACUCUAUGUUUGUAUAACCUUCCUCCUUGGUUGUGCAUGAAGCGGAAGUUCAUUAUGAUGCCAGUGCUCAUCCAAGGCCCUAAGCAACCCGGCAACGACAUUGAUGUGUACCUAAUGCCAUUAGUUGAAGAACUCUUACAACUGUGGAAUGGAACAGGUGUAUGUGCGUGGGAUGAGCACAUGGGGAAGAAUUUGACCUAAAGGCAUUGCUGUUCGUGACCAUCAAUGAUUGCCCUGCUCUCAGUAACCUUUCAGGACAGACAAACAAGGGAUACCGCGCAUGCACGCACUAUUUGGACGAUACCGACAGUAUAUAUUUGGCUAAUUGUAAGAAGAAUGUGUACCUGGGACAUCGUCGAUUUCUUCCGAGCAGGCAUCCCGUAAGAAAGAAAGGCAAGCAUUUCAAAGGUGAGGUGGAUCAUCGGACGAAGCCUCGCCACUGUACUGGUGCUGAUGUACAUGAUAUGGUCAAGGAUUUGAAGGUGGUCUUUGGAAAGGGUCCUGGUGGACAACCUGUUCCGAAUGACGCUGAAGGACGCGCACCCAUGUGGAAGAAGAAAUCUAUAUUUUGGGACCUACCCUAUUGGAAAGACCUAGAGGUCCGCUCCGCAAUCAAUGUGAUGCACGUGACGAAGAAUCUUUGUGUGACCCUACUUGGCUUCUUGGGCGUGUAUGGGAAGACAAAAGAUACACCUGAGGCACGGGAGGACCAGCAACGUAUGCACGGAAAAGACGGCAUACAUCAGGGUCAUGCAAGCUACACUCUUACCAAAGAAGAGAAGGAAAUCUUCUUUGAAUGUCUGCUCAGUAUUAAGGUACCGUCUGGCUUCUCGUCGAAUAUAAAGGGAAUAAUAAACAUGGUAGAGAAAAAGUUCCAGAACCUAAAGUAUCAUGACUGCCACGUGAUUAUGACGCAACUGCUUCCGGUUGCAUUGAGGGGGCUUCUACCGGGAAACGUUCGAUUAGCCAUUGUGAAGCUAUGUGCAUUCCUCAAUGCAAUCUCUCAGAAGGUAAUCGAUCCAGAAAUCAUACCAAGGUUAGAGAAUGAUUUGAUGCAAUGUCUUGUCAGUUUCGAGUUGGUGUUCCCACUAUCCUUCUUCAACAUCAUGACGCACGUGCUAGUUCACCUAUGCGAAGAGAUUAACGUUUUGGGUCCUGUAUUUCUACACAAUAUGUUCCCCUUUGAGAGGUUCAUGGGAGUCUUAAAGAAAUAUGUUCAUAACCGUGCUAGGCCAGAAGGAAGCAUCUCCAAGGGCCAUGAAAAUGAGGAGGUCAUUGAGUUUUGUAUUGAUUUUAUUCCUAACCUUAAGCCGAUUGGUGUUCCUGAAUCGCGGCAUAAGGGCAGACUGGAUGGAAAAGGCAUGCUAGGAGGGGAACAAAUAAUAUGUAUGGACGGACAUUCUCUCACUGAAGCACACUACACAGUUCUACAGAAUUCCGCCUUGGUGGCUCCGUAUAUGGAUUAACACAAGAAUUUGCUACGAUCCAAACACCCGGAGCGGUCUGAUGACUGGAUUACACGUGAACAAACCAGGAGUUUCGCCAGCUGGUUGCAGACACGUACCAUGCAUGACGCCUCUAUUGAAGAUGACAUGUAUUUGCUGUCCCAGUUACCAUCUUCGAAUAUAAUGACUUUCAAAGGGUACGAGAUAAAUGGUAAUACAUUUUACACGAUCGCCCAAGAUAAGAAGAGCACCAACCAAAAUAGUGGUGUCCGCUUUGAUGCAGAAACCAAGACGGGAAAGGAAACAUAUUAUAGUUAUAUACAGGACAUAUGUGAACUUGACUAUCGACGUGGUUUGAAGGUCCCUUUGUUUCGGUGUAAAUGGGUCAAUAUGACACGAGGCGGGGUAACGGAAGACCCGCAGUACGGAAUGACAACAGUGGAUCUCAACAAUCUUGCGUAUGCAGACGAACCAUUCGUCCUAGUCAAUGAUGUGGCACAGGUUUUCUAUGUGAAGGACAUGUCUACCAAGCCGAGAAAAAGAAAAGAUAAGGAAGCAAAUGCAUCGUACGAUGACCCAAAGCGGCACAUAGGUCUUUCUGGGAAGAGAAACAUCGUGGGAGUGGAUGACAAGACAGACAUGUCAGGAGAUUACGAAAAGUUUGAUGAAAUUGUUCCAUUCACAGUGAAUAUUGACCCGAGCAUCCGGUUAAAUGAUGAAGAUUUUCCAUGGCUACGACGCAAAGGGACACACGCGAAGAAAAAGUUUCACACCCAAAGAUCUGGGAUGUGAUCGGCUUCACUAUCAUCAUUUUCUUCUGUGUUUCACACCCAGGAGGGAAUCUCUGUAAUAGUUAGGGUAGCUAGUUAUGUGUUUUGGCAUUUGAAACGCGAAGAAAUUUUAUGUGCAAGCAAAUUCUUUCAUGCAUUUACUGAUUUUUUUAGCUAAAUGAACCUGAAAUUGAAAAGCAUUUCAAAUGAACUCAGAAAAGGUUGAAAGUUGGCAUGGUAUCAUAAUUUCACCCACAUAGCAUGUGCAAAAAAGUAGAGAGGGUGACCGCAAAAACUGGAUGCACUUCGUGUACAAAAUGGACAAUCUCUUUCGAAGUAUCAGGGUUUCGGACGAAAACUCAUCCGUUACAAAGGCAUUUCAUUUUUUAAAUAACCUAAGAAUUACCAAAUUGAAUAUAAUGAUAAAACACACUAAUAUUAAACAUAAAAAAAAGAAUCACUGAAAAAUCUAUUUUCAAAGUUAAGUUAUUCACAAACUAGUGAUUCACACAAAUUUGAAAUAAUUCAAAAUUUAAACUAUUCAAAUUUGUAAACUACCGGUACUAACAGAAAGUUUGUAAUUUUUUGUACCUAAAGCAAAAAUAUUCACAAAGAAACUCUAAAUACAGCAAAAAAACAACUCAAAAAUAAAUAAAGCAAAAAUAAAUAAAGCAAAAAAAGAAAAGAAAAAAAGCCCACCUACUGCGCCACAGCGGCCUGCAUACAACUAGAAACCCAACCUGUUGUUGGGCCAGGAUGCAGGCCCGCGAAGGCCCAGUAGGCCCACAGGGCAGCACAGAACAUUUAGGCCCAGUAGGCCUGCUUUGGAGAGGAGCUCGAGGGAGCUACCGCACUGGGGCUUAUAAACCAGUGCUGACGCCCCUCGCCUAGCGAGGUGGGACUAAACAUGCCGCACCGCACCUGCGCCAGUGCACCCCCUUUAGUACCGGGUGGUGGCUCAAACCGGUACUAAAGGGGGGGUCUUUAGUACUGGUUGGAGCCACCACCCGGUACUAAAGGGGUGCCGCUCCCGCCGCUUGGUCUGGCCAAGACAGACCUUUAGUACCGGUUGGUGGCUCCAACCGGUACUAAAGGUUGUUCUAUAUAAGAAAACACUUCAAAAAAAUUGUCAGUUUCUCAUCUCUCCCUCUGCUUCUUUCUCCUCUGCCCCAUGGCAUCCGCCCCUCGUCGUCGCCCCCGUCGCCGUCCCCGUCGCCGUCCGUCGCCGUCACCGUCCCCGUCCCCGUCGUCCCCGUCGCCGCGCCCCAGCCCGUCCCCGUCCCCGUCGUCGCCGCCCCGUCCCCAUCGCCGUCUCCGUCUCCGUACCCGUCGCCGCCCCCCGUCGUCGCGCCUCGCCGGUGAGCUUCUUGCCCCGGCCGCCAUGUACCACACACACACACACACACAUACACACACAUUGUUAUAGAAAUGUUAGCAAUGUUUCUGUUUUUUAGUUAUAGAAUUAUUAGAAAUGUUAGUUAUAUAGAAAUGUUUUUUAGUUAUAGAAAUAUUAGAAAUCUUCGUUAUAUAGAAAUGUUAGUUAUAUAGAAAUAUUAGAAAUGUUAGUUAUAUUAGAAAUGUUAGUUAUAUAGAAAUGUUAGUUAUAUAGAAAUGUUUUUUAGUUAGAGAAAUAUUAGAAAUGUUAGUUUUAGUUAUAGAAAUAUUAGAAAUGUUAGUUUUAGUUAUAAAAUUUAGAAUUUGCAUAUAUGAAAUCACAAUCCAUCAUUUGAAAAAUGUUACUUUACUUUUGCGGCAUAUAGUAUUUGUUGUCGACGAUGCCCGGCCCGCAUCCUCGUUGUCGACCCGUUCGCGACGACGUCCUGCUUCAGAGGACCCAUGUCCGGGACUGGGCUCGCACUGGGAGGUGCUACCUUCAGGGGCGCGACGCUUGGUGAGGAACUCGGCCCCGGGUCCCGUUGUCGACCCUGAUCUCCUUUGGUGGCGUUCGCAUGGGCCACUUUCGGUGCGGAGGGAGCCGGCCCCGCCGGAGGUGGUACGUCGCCGUGUCAGGGAGGAGGACGAGCACGUCCAUCGCUACAUGGCUGCUAUGGACGUCAGGUUCUCCAAUACCUGGCAGGUUCUUUGAGGAGAUCACCCGAGCUAUGAUCCAGUGAUGGUUCCUUCACUUUGGUUGUCCACCGCCUAGAUUACUCUCUAGUAUUCGAUCUUUACUAGCUAGCUAGCUAGCUAGUGAUGUAUUCGAUAUAUAAUAUUCGAGAUGAUUUUCGAGAUUAUAUAUAUUAUUCGAGACGAUGUAUUCGAGAUUAUAUCUAUUAUUCGAGACGACGUAUUUGAGAUUAUAUUUGAUGAUGCUUAUUAUGUACUAUGAUUGAUUCAGUUUUUCCUUAUUAAUUGAUUGCAUAUAUGCAUUGUAAUUUGAAUAUAUUUCUUUUGGAUUAGUUAAAUAAAACCUAUGACGGACAAUACCGGCAGAGAGGGAGAAGAGGCCCUGUUCAAUAUCAUACGCAAUCCUCGCGGGCCAGAUGAUGAUCAGAAUGAAGAAGAUUAUGAUGGCUCCGAAUAUCUAAACAACACUGGGGAGGGUGAUAUGAUAUUCGAUCGCGACGACCGAAUUGAUGAAGUCGUGAACUAUGAGCAUGACGAAGAAAAUGUUGAUCUUGAAACAACAAAGACCGGUGAGGUAUAUAUAUUUAUAUAAGCAGACAUUUGGUGAUCAUCACAUGUUUAAAUGACUUGAAAAUAUAUUAACGAAUCGAUCUUUCUUUUUUCAGCCUUCCGGAUCGAGCAAAUCUUCAGGCAACAGGAAACGAGGCCCGAACAAAAAGUUGAAGGAGGGCGUAAAGUACAAUAUCGAGGCCAUCAAACAUAAUGGCGAACCAUUAGCGCCUAAGAAGAUUGCGGACAAGUUCAUUCGUCAGUGCGGAGUUCUUGUGAAGGACCAACUCCCGAUCUCCCUUCAAGAAUGGAGAGAGCCAGCAAAGCCACGUCCAGGAAUUACUUUUGUCGACGACAGACAAAAACUUCUGCUUUGGGAAACGCUCAUGGAACAUUUCACCCUACCAGAUCAUUUCACAGAUGCAGAUGUGGAGAAAGUCAAGGACGCUGCUCUUAGGAAGAUGGCGGUUGCAUUCAACAACCACAAGAAUCGUGAAUGGGGCAAGUACGUCAAGGGAGGAAGGAAGACUCCAGUAUUCGAGGGAACACUUGAGAAGCAAAGUGCUCAUUGGGACGAUUUUGUGAAAUUCAAGGAUUCGGAAUUAUCUAAGGAACGGUCGAUCAACAAGGCCAAUGCCGCAAAAAAAGGAUAAGUUCCAUAAGCUGGGGCCAGGUGGCUAUGCGGUGGGAAUGCCUAAGUGGGAUAAGUUUGAGAAAGAGAUGGAUGAUGUAGGUGUCACUCCAGAAACAUUGAGCUGGCCCCCAGGUGCAGGACUUGGUUCUAUGCGCAUGGGGGGAGUUGGACCCGAAGACAGGCAAAGUUUCGAAGAAGGCAUGUCUGGACGGAGCCGAAGAUAAGCUACUUGUUGCAAUAGAAGAGGCUCGAUCGGGGGUGUUCAAGCCCAACAGAGAGAAUGACGAGCUUACGCGUGCCCUGGGAAAUCCUGAACACCCGGGAAGAACACGAGGCAAGGGCGCUAUUCCGUGGUAUGAGGGGUUUUCGGACUGGAACGACGACUACAGAACCCGUGCAAGAAAGAAGAUUGCGGAGGAGGAGAAGAGGAAGAUGGAGGAGGAGCAGAGGAAGUUGGAGUAUUGAAAGUGCAACUAUCCCUAGGUGGUUUUGGUAAUUCAUAACAACAUAUAGCUCAUUGAGCUAAUGCUAUUCCAAGAUGACUAUUUCAGGAAAGCUCAAUGAUUGGCAUGGCAUGGAUGUGAAAGUGGAACCCUCAAAAUGCUAAGGACAAAGGAUUGGCUCAAGCUCAAAAGCUCAAGACUCUUCAUUUUAUAUUUUAGUGAUCCAAGAUCACAUUGAGUCUUUAGGAAAAGCCAAUACUAUCAAGGAGGGAUGAGGUGUUGCUUAAUGAGCCUCUUGCUUCAUGUGCUUAGUGAUAUGCUCCAAAACCCUCAACUACUUUCCCAUAUCCACAUAUGACCUAAACCCUAAGCCAAACUCGGUCCUACCGAUUCUUUCUAUCCGGCGCCACCGAGUUUCACUUGUCAUAAGCCACUGCCAAACCCUAGCAAUUCGGUUCUACCGAUAGGGAUCUCGGUCUCACCGAGAUGGGAUUGCAAACUCUCUGUUUCCCUUUCGUAACUUUUCGGUCUCACCGAAAGAGCGAAUCGGUCCCACCGAGAUUGCAAUGUAAAUUCAGUGUUUCCUUUUUGUAACUUUUUGGUCUCACCGAAAGAGCAAAUCGGUCCCGCCGAGUUUGCCUGACCAACUCUCUGGUUAGCUAAUUACCAAAAUCGGUCUCACCGAGUUUGUGUAAUCGGUCUCACCGAGAUUACGUUAUGCCCAAACCCUAACCAUAUCGGUCCUACCGAGUUGCAUGUCAGUCCCACCGAAAAUCUCUAACGGUCACUAGGUUUACCUUUUCGGUCCGACCGAGUUUGUUGAUUCGGUCCCACCGAGAUUGGAAAACUGUGUGUAACGGUUGGAUUUUGUGUGGAGGCUAUAUAUACCCCUCCACCUCCUCUUCAUUCGUGGAGAGAGCCAUCAAAACACAUACACAAUUCCAACUCAUAUGUUCUGAGAGAGAACCACCUACUCAUGUGUUGAGACCAAGAUAUUCCAUUCCUACCAUAUGAAUCUUGAUCUCUAGCCUUCCCAAGUUGCUUUCCACUCAAAUCUUCUUUCCACAAAAUCCAAAUCCUAUGAGAGAGAGUUGAGUGUUGGGGAGACUAUCAUUUGAAGCACAAGAGCAAGGAGUUCAUUACCUACACACCAUUUGUUACUUCUUGGAGAGUGGUGUCUCCUAGAUUGGCUAGGUGUUACUUGGGAGCCUCCGACAAGAUUGUGGAGUUGAACCAAGGAGUUUGUAAGGGCAAGGAGAUCGCCUACUUCGUGAAGAUCUACCGCUAGUGAGGCAAGUCCUUCGUGGGCGAUGGCCAUGGUGGGAUAGACAAGGUUGCUUCUUCGUGGACCCUUUGUGGGUGGUUGCUUCUUCGUGGACCCUUCGUGGGUGGAGCCCUCCGUGGACUCGCGCAACCGUUACCCUUUGUGGGUGGAGCCCUCCGUGGACUCGCGCAACCGUUACCCUUCGUGGGUUGAAGUCUCCAUCAAUGUGGAUGUAGGAUAGCACCACCUAUCCGAACCACGGGAAAAACAUCCGUGUCUCCAAUUGUGUUUGAAUUCUCCAAACCCUUCCCUUUACAUUCUUGCAAGUUGCAUGCUUUACUUUCCGCUGCCAAUAUACUCUUUGCAUGCUUGCUUGAAUUGUGUGAUGAUUGCUUGACUUGUCCUACAAUAGCUAAAAUCUGCCAAGAACUAAAAUUGGGAAAAUGUUAAGUUUUUAUUUGGUCAAGUAGUCUAAUCACCCCCCCCCCUCUAGACAUACUUUCGAUCCUACAAGUGGUAUCAGAGCUUUGGUCUCCAUUUGCUUUGAUCUCCAUAUCUUUUGGUGGUCAUAGCCUUGGUUUCACAACCUAGGAGAGUAUGGCGUCUAGCGAGGGAAAUUAUCACCGUAGAGGUCCUUACUUUGAUGGUACUAAUUUUGCUAGUUGGAAGCAUAAAAUGAAAAUGCAUAUUCUUGGACAUAACCCCGCCGUUUGGGCUAUUGUGUGUGUUGGUUUGCAAGGUGACUUCUUUGAUGGAAAAGAACCAAACCGUGAAGCUACCGCGGAUGAGUUGAAGAUGUUGCAAUACAAUGCUCAAGCUUGUGAUAUUCUCUUCAACGGAUUGUGCCCCGAAGAAUUCAACAAAAUCAGCCGUCUUGAGAAUGCAAAGGAAAUUUGGGACACUUUGAUUGAUAUGCACGAAGGUACCGACUCCAUCAAGGAAUCCAAGUUGGAUGUGCUUCAAAGUCAACUUUACAAGUUCAAAAUGAAGGAUGGUGAAGGUGUCGCUGAAAUGUACUCUAGGCUUGCUCUCAUCACAAAUGAGAUUGCCGGCUUAGGAAGUGAACAGAUGACCGAUAGAUUCAUCAUCAAGAAGAUUCUAAGAGCCUUGGAUGGAAAAUAUGAUACCGUGUGCACAUUGAUCCAAAUGAUGCCCAAUUACAAAGAUCUCAAGCCAACGGAGGUGAUUGGAAGAAUUGUUGCUCAUGAGAUAUCACUUAAGGAUAAAGAGGAACUUCACAACAAAUCAAGUGGUGCCUACAAAGCCUCAUGUGAAGCCCCUACAUCAUCAAGUGAGAAACAAAACUUCAAUGAAGAAUUGAGCUUAAUGGUGAAGAACUUCAACAAGUUCUACAAGAGUAGAAGCAAAGAUAGAAGCUUCAAGUCAAGGUCCUACAAUGACAAAAGAUCUUCUAGUCGAGAGCGAAACUGCUACAGUUGUGGAAGACCCGGACACUAUUCCAAUGAGUGUACGGCUCCCUACAAGAGAAGAGAAGAUUCUCCAAAAGGAAGAAGCAAAGAAUCACCACCAAGAGAGAGAAGGAGUAGAGAUGAUCGUUAUGAACGAAGAUACUCACGGAGAAGCAAGGAUUCGGAAAGGAAGGAAAAAUCAUCAAGGAGCUACACAAAACGAAGACAUCAAGCUCAUGUUGGUGAAUGGGUAUCCGGAUCCGACUCCGACAGCCACUCUGAGAGAAGUUAUCACUCCGACUCCGAAGAUACUCAAGAUGAAGGUGUUGCUGGUCUAGCACUUGUGUCAACCAACUCCUACGACAUAUUUGACUCACCAAAUGAAGCAAUUGGAAGAUGCUUCAUGACCAAAGGUCCUAAGGUAACACACCCCGAGUAUGUUGAUUUCAAUAGUGAUGAAGAUGACUUGUUAGGUGAUGAUUUGCUUGUUGACAACUCUAGUGAUGAAUACUAUGAUGAAACGUCAAUUAAUCAUGCUAAUCAAGAUAAAACGAAUGACAAUGAUAAGGAGAAGAUUGAGGCUCUAACUAAAGAACUAAACACUCUUAAGUUAGCUCAUGAAACUAUCUUCGAAGAUCAUCGAGAACUUUUAAGAGCUCAUGAGAAAUUACGCUUUGAAAAGCUCAAUCUUGAGCAAGAACAUGAGUUCUUAAAAGAAAUCAACGAUGAUCUCCGCAAGAAAAGUUCUUCUUACAUUGCCAAGCGUUUACUCUUAUCCACUUACAUGCCUCAAGUCAAGUCUAGUAACAAAAACAAGAAAGAUUCUUCCUCUAGCAGUAACAAUGAUCAUGCUAAAUCCAAUAUUGUUGCUUCUAGUAGUUCUCUUGAUUCCACUAAUGAUUCUCUUAGCCAAGUUACACUUGAGCAAGAAAAUAGCUUAUUGAAGGGAAUUAUAGAGAAAGGAGUGUACAAAAGCCUUGCCGAGAGUAAGCAAUUCGAGGAAAUUGUGUGCAAGCAAGGAAUGCACCGGAAGAAUCAAGGUGUUGGUUUUGAAAAAAAGUUCAAUGCCAAUGGAGUUGAGUGGUAAGAAGAUCAAUACCCCAAGACAAAGUUUGUUCCUCAACAAGAUAAGUAUGAUACUUCUUUCAAGGGGACACAAGCUCAAGAUGAUCUUCCACCACAAGACUACAAGCAAAAAGGCAAGGACAAGCUUCAAGAGGAAAUUGAUGCAUUUGAAGAAGCUCCUAAGACCUUAGUCAAGUGGAUUCCCAAGACUACUUCAAGUUCCACUUCAUCAAGUACGACUACAACUCCAAGGAUUCCCAUCAAGAUGGUGUGGAUCCAAAAGAAGAAGAACUAGAGAGUUCUUGAGGGUGACUCCGCCAACAUACUUCACUCUUAUCAUUUUGGCAAGAACAAGUGCAAUCAACUUCCACAUCUUGCACUAGUUCAAGGAGUCACAAACCCUCUUGUUGGUAAGACAAGGGACAAGGUAACCUAAAAGUUUUCAUGGACAUCAUCUUGUGUGUGCAUCACUCUAUGUCUAUGGAUAUCCUUGUUUGUUCCUUAUGGGACUAACCCAUGUAGGUAUUGAAAGUGCAAUUCACUCAAAUGGAUAGCUCCAAGUGAUCUACAUCAACAUUGAGCAUCCACAUCUUCAACAUCUACAUGAAGUCAUCAUCGACAAAACCCGAGGUUAGUUCAUCCCUCUAAGGGGGGAUAUCACAUCUAGGGGGAGCUUUACUCUAAGACUUGAGCUAAAGCAACUCUAAAGAUGUGAACACAACAAUGCUUUAUGUAAAAGUGGUAACCCCACUUAAGCUUAAACGAUGAGUAUGACCUAUGAUCAAGUGUUCUCACUUGACUCCUAAGUCAAUAUACUCAUAUAUAGAUGACCUUGUCAUCGCAAAUUGCUUGAUAGAUGCUAGAAUUGGUUGUGCAUGCCUUGUCACAUAUUUCAUUUGCCAUCUUAUUGUGUGAGCAUGCUGGUUGCAUAUUUUACUCAUUCGAGGACAUCCACUUGUUGUUUUGAUUGUUUGGUUUUAUUUCCUUUUGCCAAGUGGAUGGACAAGAAUGCCUAAGAACCUCCUCUAGCUAUCUAUGCUUUUCUCGUCUAAAACUCUAUUCAUGCUACAUCACAAAAUUUGAUCAAGUCAGAUUCGAACCACUCUGUGUGAGGAGCGCUCGGAGUCCCCGAUUCGUCAUAGACUUAAACUUCCAAAACCUCUUUAUGAUUCUCGGUCUGACCGAUACCCCACUUUCGGUCCUACCGAGAUCAUUAAGUUGAUCUAGGUUUUCGAUCUUGGUGCAACCGAUUUGAACCAUUCGGUCCCACCGAGUUGCAACAACUGUAUACAGUUUUGCAUCUUGGUGCCACCGAGUUGUUCCACUCGGUCACACUGACAGGGUCGGGCUAUAUAUAGUCACGGGCAAAAAUUUGGAAAUUUCUCUGAACCCCUUCGCCCGCACGAUAGCUCGCUCUGCCAACUUGGUCUCCGGAUCGUCUCCUCACCGCCAGCCGCCUCCAGUCGCUGGUCUACAUCGCCGUCAACGGAAUUCAACCCUGCCGUUGCCGCUGUAGCGAGUCUCCGCCGAACUAGGGUAUGGACUCGAUCACAGUGCUAUUCCCCGUCCGAUUCCUAGCACAUUGUGUUCUUAAUGAUUCUUGCCACGAUUGAAACACUCCUAUCCAGUCAAUGCGCUCGUAGAUUAGGUUUGAUUCGAAAAUUUUAGGGUUAGGUUUCCACCGAAACCAUCUCGGACCCACCGAAUUGAAAAACUCGGUCCCACCGAUUUGGCUCAUGCCAUUGCACAAGUGAGACUUGGUCUGACCGAGAAUUACUUAUCGAUGUGACCGAUUUUGGAACUUUGUGAAACCCUAGCAGGCUCGGUGCCACCGAACUGUGACUCGGUCUGACCGAGUUCACUAGUUUAGGUUCCAAAACUGCUUCGGUAUCACCGAGUUUAAAAAUCGGUAGAUCCGAGAUGAUUUCAGUGGGAAACUAAAACUAAGUUUUUGGAUCAUUCUUUUGCAAAAAUCUCUGCAUUUUGUGAUGCUCAUCCACUCUAUCUCAUCUAUAACCUAUUCACAGGGUCAGCAGUCAGAGUUUGCAACAUGUCUGAUCAGAGUGACAGCCAGAACUUGUCAGAGCAGCAAGUGCAGAUGAGUGAGGGCACUAGUCCCUCCAGCUCUUCAGAUGAUGGCAGCAGAAGUACCCCAAGCAAAUUGCCAAAAGCUGUCACGAGACAAAGGAAGAAAAGAACUUCAGAUUCUGAGGAUGAAGAUUAUGUGGCAGAGGAAGAGGAAGCAACUUCCAAUAGAGUUGAGCCAACACAGGGCACAAAGCCAGGGUUAAAGAUCAAAAGGCCAGCAGGCAGGCAGCCUAUGUCAAAGGCCAGAGCUUCAACUGAGAAGCCCACUCCCAUAGAGCCAGUUGCUGCUGAAGGCAAGAAAAGAAAGGAAAGGGUGAAGAAAACCGUAGCCAGAGUGCUUGGCAAGGCUUCCAUCAUGGAAGAUGAGGAGGAAGAAGAAGAGGUAGCUGCACCAGCACCUAAGGCACCCAAGCUGAUGGGUGAUGCCAUAAGAUCAGGGGCAGCUGCUUCCAAGGCCAAGCCAGCUCCAAAGCCAAAACCAAAGAGGAAUACAAGAAGCAUACCUGCAACUGAGAAGAACAAGGCCCCAGUGCCUGAAGCUGCAGAAGAAGAUGAUGAAGAGCAAGUUCUUAGAAAGCUCAAGCCCAAGAUCCCAGACCACAACGAUGCUCAUCCUGUGGCUGAGGAUAUGAAACUCAGGAGAGAUUCAGGGCUCCGGAAGUGGAGAGAAGAAGAUCCAUAUGCUUCAAGGAGAAGAACUGCUGUGGAUUACAGGUUUCACACCAAGGAACAGCAAGAUUUCUAUGAGACAGUGCUGCUGGACAAGAAGCCCAUAGUUUGUGACAUGAGAUGGGUUGAUUGGGAGUACAUCAAGGACAAUGAAGAGCACUAUCCUGGAGUGCAAGACAGCUUUAGUGCUUGUGGAGUUGCAGACUUUGUUGGGCAGAAGCUCACAAAGUGGAACGGGGAGCUCAUUAUGCAAUUCUACUCCACAGCACACUUCUAUCCAGAUGGUAGGAUAACUUGGAUGUCUGAAGGUACGAGGUACCAAUCUACAGUUGAUGAAUGGGCUCAACUGAUCAAUGCCCCAGAAGAGCAGGAGGAUGACUUGGAUGUCUAUGCCAAGAAAAAGAUGGAUCAUAACUCAAUGGCAAAUAUGUACAAGGAGAUUCCAGUAGAUGAUCUUGACACUCACCAGCUUGGGUCCGUAAAACACUUGUUGUCAGGACUGUCUACGAUCAACUGGAUCCUUAGGCACACACUCUUUCCCAAGUCUAGAGAUCAUAGAAUGAUCAGAGGUCACGCCAUUAACUUGCUACAUAUAUUUGAUGUGCCUCAGAAAUUCAAGGUCAUGAGCCUCAUAGUAGAGACUAUCAAGAGGACUGCAGCAGAUCAGAAGAGGAGCUGUGGUUAUGCCCCUUAGAUCCAGGAGCUCAUCAACUCGAAGAUGGGCACAGGCAUAUACUUAUUGGACAAGGAACACCUGCCCAUCCGUCCAGAUUUUGAAGAUAAUCAAGUUGUCAUGAAUGAGAAUGAACCAUCAUCUGCACAAGCACAAGCAAAGAAGGAGAAGGCAAGGGAGGAGAAAGCUGCCAAGAUGCCAACUCAAGAGGAGGCAUCUGAGUAUUUCUUGAAAACCAAACAAGAGCAUCUUGGUUACUUGAUUGCAUCCACCCUGCGGAUUGAGCAAGGACUAGCCACCCUAACUCAGAACCAGGCAAGCUUAGAGAGGAUCAUGGAACAAAAGUUCUAUGACUUGGAUGUCAAAGUAACAGAGAUUCAGACUGCAGUGGAGCAACUUCAGGAUGACAUGCAGGAGAGGAGAGGCAAGACUACAACAGAUGCCUUUGCCAGAGUGCCACGAGGUCCGAGGUCGUAUGCAGUGACAGUUGCUGACCCCAGAGCCACCACGUCUGCACCAGCUACAGCCUCAGUUCCACCAGCUCCAGCGUCCACUUCGGCCUCGACUCCAACCACGUCUACAGAAGGCUUCGUCCUUGGAGUGCUCCGGACUCCACCACCACCUGAAGAUCAAGCCUGAGCGUCGAUCUAGCACUAUGCAUUUUCUAGGAACUUUUUGGUAACUUGUUGCCAAAGGGGGAGAAAAAUGUAUAGAUCAUAGGCUUCGAGAGAGUGUGUGUUGCUUUUUUCUCUCUUGCUUUAUUUGGUGGUUUUUCGAACUUUGUUUGCUUUCGUGUGAGAUACUAUGUCAUUGCUCGUGAGACAUUGAUGAUCAUGUGUUUGAUCAUAAGCUACACUUAAUGCUUGAUGAAUGUUAUUAUCUUAUCUAUCUUAUGUGAUCAUUCACUUUUCUUGGUGAUGAGUGCAUGUAUUUCAUUCUUAUCAUUUUAAGUGCUCCACCAAGAUGUAUGUGACAUGGAAGAGUAACCCAUGACUCUAACUCUUUGUGCAUUUGCAGUCCAAAGCAAAUUUUAAAUAUGCACAAAUUUAGGGGGAGCUCUUACUUGUCACAUACUUCUCAAAGCGACGAUAUAUUUCAUGCUUAUUAUCAUUUGUCGAAGCUUUGAUCUAUAUGUUGUCAUCAAUUACCAAAAAGGAGGAGAUUGAAAGUGCAACUAUCCCUAGGUGGUUUUGGUAAUUCAUAACAACAUAUAGCUCAUUGAGCUAAUGCUAUUCCAAGAUGACUAUUUCAAGAAAGCUCAAUGAUUGGCAUGGCAUGGAUGUGAAAGUGGAACCCUCAAAAUGCUAAGGACAAAGGAUUGGCUCAAGCUCAAAAGCUCAAGACUCUUCAUUUUAUAUUUUAGUGAUCCAAGAUCACAUUGAGUCUUUAGGAAAAGCCAAUACUAUCAAGGAGGGAUGAGGUGUUGCUUAAUGAGCCUCUUGCUUCAUGUGCUUAGUGAUAUGCUCCAAAACCCUCAACUACUUUCCCAUAUCCACAUAUGACCUAAACCCUAAGCCAAACUCGGUCCUAUCGAUUCUUUCUAUCCGGCGCCACCGAGUUUCACUUGUCAUAAGCCACUGCCAAACCCUAGCAAUUCGGUUCUACCGAUAGGGAUCUCGGUCUCACCGAGAUGGGAUUGCAAACUCUCUGUUUCCCUUUCGUAACUUUUCGGUCUCACCGAAAGAGCGAAUCGGUCCCACCGAGAUUGCAAUGUAAAUUCAGUGUUUCCUUUUUGUAACUUUUCGGUCUCACCGAAAGAGCAAAUCGGUCCCGCCGAGUUUGCCUGACCAACUCUCUGGUUAGCUAAUUACCAAAAUCGGUCUCACCGAGUUUGUGUAAUCGGUCUCACCGAGAUUACGUUAUGCCCAAACCCUAACCAUAUCGGUCCUACCGAGUUGCAUGUCAGUACCACCGAAAAUCUCUAACGGUCACUAGGUUUACCUUUUCGGUCCGACCGAGUUUGUUGAUUCGGUCCCACCGAGAUUGGAAAACUGUGUGUAAUGGUUGGAUUUUGUGUGGAGGCUAUAUAUACCCCUCCACCUCCUCUUCAUUCGUGGAGAGAGCCAUCAGAACACAUACACAAUUCCAACUCAUAUGUUCUGAGAGAGAACCACCUACUCAUGUGUUGAGACCAAGAUAUACCAUUCCUACCAUAUGAAUCUUGAUCUCUAGCCUUCCCAAGUUGCUUUCCACUCAAAUCUUCUUUCCACAAAAUCCAAAUCCUAUGAGAGAGAGUUGAGUGUUUGGGAGACUAUCAUUUGAAGCACAAGAGCAAGGAGUUCAUUACCUACACACCAUUUGUUACUUCUUGGAGAGUGGUGUCUCCUAGAUUGGCUAGGUGUUACUUGGGAGCCUCCGACAAGAUUGUGGAGUUGAACCAAGGAGUUUGUAAGGGCAAGGAGAUCGCCUACUUCGUGAAGAUCUACCGCUAGUGAGGCAAGUCCUUCGUGGGUGAUGGCCAUGGUGGGAUAGACAAGGUUGCUUCUUCAUGGACCCUUUGUGGGUGGUUGCUUCUUCGUGGACCCUUCGUGGGUGGAGCCCUCCGUGGACUCGCGCAACCGUUACCCUUCGUGGGUGGAGCCCUCCGUGGACUCGCGCAACCGUUACCCUUCGUGGGUUGAAGUCUCCAUCAACGUGGAUAUAGGAUAGCACCACCUAUCCGAACCACGGGAAAAACAUCCGUGUCUCCAAUUACGUUUGAAUUCUCCAAACCCUUCCCUUUACAUUCUUGCAAGUUGCAUGCUUUACUUUCUGCUGCCAAUAUACUCUUUGCAUGCUUGCUUGAAUUGUGUGAUGAUUGCUUGACUUGUCCUACAAUAGCUAAAAUCUGCCAAGAACUAAAAUUGGGAAAAGGUUAAGUUUUUAUUUGGUCAAGUAGUCUAAUCACACCCCCUCUAGACAUACUUUCGAUCCUACAACUAUGAACGCCUUCAAGGCCUAGAAUCAGCGCACGCGGACUUGGCAGUCAAAUUCCAGCGGCAGCAGGAGCAGAUCGACUCACUUAGCCAGCAAAGGGGGUCUCAGCAGCUGCAGCAGCUAGCGGAUGAUCCAGCAUUGGAUAGCACCGUCCCAUCCAUGCCGAGAAGCAGCGUGGGUUCCGCCCCGGGCGACGCAUUGCUGGAUAGCUACCCAGUGGAUGACAUCAUGGAGAACACUAACUGUGAGCUACACUUCAAAAUGAAGAACAUAUCCAUGAAGGUGGCGGGCGCCGUUGCUUUUACAAAUCCCCCCGAGGCAACCUUCCAUUGCAACCUGAUUCCAGCGGGCUAUGCUCGUGUCUUAGUUGAUGAGGUGGUGGACCAAUAUUCGGGGCUAGAGCUUGACAUUCCUGGAGGUGACGAGGAGCACACACUGGGAGAGGACCUCCAUCGUAUCAUCCUAUGGAGAAAGGAUUGCAUCAUCUUUCGAAGGCCACCGACACCGCGUCAUCCGACUCCUCGUCGAAGUCCGCCAUCGAAUCAGCAGACUCCCGCUCCUCCAAGUCCACCAACGCGUCAGGCCACUCCUCCUCCAAGUUUGGCACAGCUUCAGGCCACUCCUCCUCCUCCAAGUCCGGCAAAGCAUCAGGCCACUCCUCCUCCAAGUCCGGCACAGCUUCAGGCCACUCCUCCUCCUCCAACUCAGCCACGUCAGCCGUCUUCGUCGCCUCAGCAAUCACGGAAGAGAGCCGCCUCAGCUAUGGUGCGUAGCGGUACAAGUCGAGGUAGUACUGGAGGUACAGGCGGAGGCAAGCGAUUUCAAUAUGGUCCAAGCAUCCUCGCGCCUCUUCCGCAGAGGCCUUACGACAAGUCCGAGGAGGAAAACGCAGCCAUAUCGAAGGCCGAGGUGGAAGCCCAUUUUGCACCGAAACCGCCACCGCCGCCAAGGGAGAAAGUGCCUGAGGAAAAGAUUGACCACUUCAUUCGUAUGGCUAGCGCACCAGCUACCAAGCCUGUUGACACAGACUAUGAGCGCCACCUCAGGAAGUUAAAUCGAGCACGUCUACAGAAAGAGGCGAGCUCGAGGUCGAGCAAAUCAGCUGGCAAAACAUGCGGUAAAACCGUUCCCCGGCUGGAAGAANNNNNNNNNNNNNNNNNNNNNNNNNNNNNNNNNNNNNNNNNNNNNNNNNNNNNNNNNNNNNNNNNNNNNNNNNNNNNNNNNNNNNNNNNNNNNNNNNNNNNNNNNNNNNNNNNNNNNNNNNNNNNNNNNNNNNNNNNNNNNNNNNNNNNNNNNNNNNNNNNNNNNNNNNNNNNNNNNNNNNNNNNNNNNNNNNNNNNNNNNNNNNNNNNNNNNNNNNNNNNNNNNNNNNNNNNNNNNNNNNNNNNNNNNNNNNNNNNNNNNNNNNNNNNNNNNNNNNNNNNNNNNNNNNNNNNNNNNNNNNNNNNNNNNNNNNNNNNNNNNNNNNNNNNNNNNNNNNNNNNNNNNNNNNNNNNNNNNNNNNNNNNNNNNNNNNNNNNNNNNNNNNNNNNNNNNNNNNNNNNNNNNNNNNNNNNNNNNNNNNNNNNNAUUGUGGGAAAACCGUUUACGUUCCCGAGCUGGGCGAUGUGGUAAUAACCGAGGAGCAUAUUGAGCAGGCUGAAAUGCUCAAGAUCACUGUUGGACAACUCCUCGAUAUCGAGCCCAUGUCUCCGACUAGAGAGGAGGAAAUAAAACGAAAAUAUGUCCGGGGCCAACCUUUGGUCGAGCCAGACGAGGUCAAGAAGCUCCCAACGAGAAUGUAUGAAUUGCAUCAAUGGUACAUGGACAUUACCAAGAAUUCCAAUCGAGAGUCCCUCAUGGUGAAUGUCAAGAAGGAUCAUUACUACCAUGAGAAAGUUGUGUCCGUUGAGUAUUCAGAACUAUUUCAGUUAUACAAUCAAGAUGCACUCGACAAAUCUAUCGUCAGUUGCUAUUGUCUGUAAGUGAUUUCUUUCUGUAAUUUAAGUCUCAAGCUAGCUGUAGUGAUCAUUUUGAUCAAUCAUUACAUGUAAUUAUCCUCACUAUAUUCUUUUCUGUGGUAUUAUGCAGGAGGAAGAUUUAUGAAAUGAAAAAAGGUGGACGUUAUGGCAUUGGGUUCGUUGACCCAAAUACCAUUAAUGAAUACACAUGGAAAUUAGAUCCAUAUUACGAAAAAAGUAUAGAGGAAAGCAUGCUAGAGUUCUUCAAGCGCCUCAAAUACAAUGAAGAUAUACUACUUCCUUACAACUUCGAGUGAGUCACACUGUCUUGUACUACAAAUUCUGUUUUUGCCUACUAGCUAGCUACAUAUUUUUGCUUACAUAUGCCCGCUUAAUUAAGACAUGCAAACGUGUGUGCAUGCAAAUUUCACUGGAUCUUGUUAAUCAUUAAAGUUGAUGAACGAACAGUUGAAGUACUAGACUCACUACUUAAGAAACCAACUGACUACACCAUCGUGAAGGGGAUAGUUAACAGGUAAUUUCAAUCAUUAUUAACUAUAUCUCGGCCUAUUUAAUUAGUUCAUCAUUUCCUGAUAACAACUAUUUAAUAACCCAUUUAUUCAUUUUCUUUGUCGGCGGGCAGGGCUUGGGCAAAGUUCAUCAGCUUCACUCCAGGCCAAUGGAAACGAAAUCUGAAAUGGUAUCGACCCAUGGUAAGUAAUUAAGUAGUACUAGCUAGCUGCCAUCUCUUUAAUUAUCAUGCUUGAUUAAUUAUUAUCUGAUCAAAUUCCAUUCUCGUAAAGGCCCUGAAGCAGGCGCCGGGGAAUAAUCUGUGUGCAUACUACGUUUGCGAGAACAUUCGCAUGAUGGCGUCCGAAAGGAGCAGAUCUCAAAGACAGGAGUAGGUACGUUUGUCAGAACACUAUUCACAAUUUUUACACCAUUAUCGAUAUCUAGUCACACAAAUAAUACACAUGCAUAUUGAUAUCCUUCUUAACAGUUCAAAAAGGUGCGACAGAACCUCCUACUAGAGGACCGCAUAGAAGCAAUUCAAGAGGAAAUAGCGGGAUUUUUGCUCGACCGGGUCAUAAAUCCCAAAGGAGAAUACUUUUACCCGCUACCGCCCCCAUGAACCACUUCCAAUUGUUAUCGUGCUCCAAAGGCACCAAUUAGGCUAAUGUCAUUGGUCCGAAGGCACCAAUUAGGAGAAAUUGUAUAUAGCUAGCUAAUUGUGUGUGUGUGUGUGUGUGUGUGUGUAUGAUCGGUUCUACUAAGAAUUCUAUUUAUAUAUAUGCAUAACGUGUACAAUAUGUAGUGUCGUAAAAUAUCAGCAAACAAAAAAGAAUUAAAUGGAAAACACAAAAUUAAAUGAAAAAGAAAUCAUAAACCCAAAACCCCCCAGCCUUUUAAUACCGGUUGGUGUCACAAACCGGUACUAAAGGGCUCCCUGCCCCCAGAGCUGGCUCGUGCCACGUGGUUGCCCUUUAGCACCGGUUCGUGCUAAACCGGUACUAAAGGGGGGGGGGCUUUAGUGCCGGUUACCGAACCGGCACUAAAGGACCUUACGAACCGGUGCUAUUGCCCGGUUCUGCACUAGUGUAGUGUUUGUUGCAAAAGAUUAGGCCAAGAAUCAGUGGUUUAUGGCAGAAAUUCGUAAACCAGUCUUUUCUGCAAAUCUAUGCUUCAAUGUGGUGGUUUUCUGCAAUUCACUCGAGUGAACUCAGUAAAGAAGUGACUUCAGAAUCUUGUAGAAAUGUUGCCUCCCCUGCUUUGUCUGAUGAGUGACAUACACAUGACAUAUAAGACACUAUGAUAUUUGUCUUACUUUAAUAACGCCGCAUACAAAUGAUUAAAACUAAUAUCUUGUGUUCAUUGUGAAAAAAUAAUAAUAUCUUGUGGAGGUGUACGGUGUUAUUUGAAUGCUCAGGCGUAGCCUUGUGAUGUAGGCUGCACGUCACAAGGUUUUUUGACUUUCAGCAAGUGUGGUUAGAGCUUUCAAUGAUAUAUAAAAGAGGAGAAGGCCAUGUUAGCUUGAACCUUGGUGCUGCUAGCCUGCUACUCAUUCUUCACGUAUUUUACUUGUUGGCUUGAGAUAGUUAUCAGUUUGUAACCAUUCUGUGUACUUCUCUUGAUGUCUCUUUAUAGAUGAAAGUGAGUCACGACAGCUGUGAUGUUGCCACAGGUUUUUUUUUGUUCCUUUUUUAGAUUUAUGUAUGGUUAUAGUUUCUUUGCACUUAUCAUUUUUUUAUCCUAGAUAAAUCUGCUGCCCCUACCAAGAAUACUCAUAUUACUUCAAUGUAAAGAAGUUCUAUUUAUCCGUUUCAGACAUAAAUGUGGAAAGUAACAGGACUUAUGAUCUUUUCCUGACCCUAGAGGUUAUGUAGAGUGGGAUUGCUUAGUUCCCCUCAGAACUUCCUCUUCUCCUGCAAUUGCGUACACCAAAGAAUAUUUGUCUGGCCAUCCUGUCAUGUUUAACAGUUUAAGCAUAAAUGUUUCUUCUGCCUUUGUUAACAAACAUGUUCCAACGGUUGUGGUGAUAUUUCGGUGUUCAUGUAUGAGGUUGAUGCAGUGAUUGGAGCUUUGCAACGAUUGCACUGGAAAGCAUACAGACAUAGGCUCUGUUUGGAUGUAGAUACUCAAGCCACGGAAUUGAAAUGGGGUGUUUAUCAGAAUUUGCUUAUCAGUACUACUAUUAUGUCUGUUCAGAGUCGAAAAUUUCUACAUGUAAAAGGAUUCUGGACGAUCGUACUUCCUCUCUUGUACCGAAAUUGAAAUGUUGUACCAACAUUGGCCAUACCCAUAUUCUGCAUGAAAUUUCGUCUGGACAAUUUGCUUCACUUGAAUCAAAGAACUUCCUAGUUUCUUUACUUUCUAAACAUGCUACCAGGAUCUCGGAAUCACGACCGCUACAGCUCCCACAUAACUGCAGGUCGCACUACAGCUUUGACUGUUUGCUGAAAUCAGAACAAAGUGGCAAACUGGUGCGCGUGAGAGUGACAAACAGUUGGGCCAAAUCCUGAAGAAAGCUCAAAUCCCUCAAAAGUGACACAAAUCACUGGAGCAGGGGGAAACGGCAAAUCAUAGAUGACACUUUGAUUUGAGGAGAAGCCACAGACUACUUGGUAAAAGAGAAACUGGGUCCAUGCGGAAACAAAUUGGUCUCUACAGAUGGAAUGAAUAUGCAUGCACUUAAAACGCAAAAAUGAGCUCCAAACACAUUUGUACACAGACAGAAUAUAAAAGUGAUUCAAUAGAACACACAGAACAUGUUGCUAUUACAAUACGGCAACAAAUAACAAAGCUCUGGUUCCAUACGAUAGUCAGCAUUGUAUUUAUUUCGACAAAGAGAAAAAAACAAAGCACUUCUUACCUAAGCUUGCAGUAGUUCUAGUUCUCAAAACACCAUGAUGGAUAGAGAAUAUAUGCAUAAAAGUCCACGAGAACAACAUAGGGCGACUCGAGCAUAGCUCUUACUAACUUCCUACACAGCGCUCUUCUACCAGUCUUCU